rnacentral:lncRNA from 1 species
CCAAACACAACAUUACCUCCGAAAUCGAGCUGAUUAAAAUGGAUUACAUUAACACAGCUAUGGAGCGGCUUGCCAAAGCAGAUGUCAGGUAUCGGUUUGUGAUAGAUGUUGGGAACUCCUUGUCUCAGUAGAGACUUGGCUUCAUGCCUCAACUGCUACCAUGUUUGGUUUGAGACUCAAUACUGCAUUGAAUAAGUAGCACGUUUUAAUUAAGGUAUGUGAUAUGGAAGUUUCUGGGGGAUGUAGACUGCUAGCAUAAGAUGUAUUGCUGUCCUGGAAACUUAUGGUUUGUACCUAUCUAGUUGUAUCAAUCCCCCACUUUUCGGGUUGACUUUAUGAUAAAUAAUAAUAUCUGAUCAAGUUUCAUUUACUCUUUUUCUUCAAUUCAAGUUCUUGUCUGUACUGUUUUGGCUUUUGUUUCCUAAUAAUGUAAUAGCCCGGAAAUUUUAUAUUAAUUUCUAAUAUUAUUUGAGAAUUUUUGAGUUAGAAGUUAGUGUGUUUUUGAGGUUCGAAAGAAGAGCGGAAGUGUUCGGACACAUAAAUUUACCCAAAACGGUUCUUUUCUCUUCAAGGGUCAUAGAGUUGACUUUUUAUCUGUUGGGUUUCUAGAGAAACAUCCUUCACGAAAGUUGUAGAGCACGAUGAUACAAGUUCGUAGACACUUGGCACGCGUAAAACGGACUUCGUAUGAGAAAGUUAUGGUCAGCGAAAGUUUGUGGCUUUACGGGAAUGUGAUUUAAAUAGGAAAGUUUUAGGGUUCACUUCUCAUUUUCGCACAAACUCUUUUCUCUCCUUUUUUCUUCGCACGCCUCUCCUUCAGAACCAAAGUCAUCUGUCUGACCCGACCCGAACCCGGCAGACCCGACCUGGCUUUUUCGGCCACCUCCGACCGAUCUAGACGCCGGCACCGGUCAAGUUCUCUUCCUCUCCUCGGCGCAAUCUUCCCUGUGUUGGUGGGUGAGGACGACUUGAGCUGAGCUGUGCACACCGAGCACCAUAGUGAGGGCGGCGACCCGGUUUGCAACCCGAUUGGAUUCUCACCUCCGGUGGCGGCGACGAGGCUUGAAACCGGUCGGGAUAGGAAGUGUUGGGCGUCCUUGUUCAAUCCUUGGGGUUUUGUAGCUCGCCUCGUUGUGUAGAGCUGUGAUGGACUUCUCCUUGUGGCGACACUACUUUGGCUGGAAAUGCCAUUUCUGGUGGCAACGAGACCUACUUCGUUGUGGUUGUCUCCUCGCGAACCUCAAUAGCUGAGUGGGUGGCGCCAAGCUUGAGCUAACACGACGGAACUAGCAAGGCUGCUUUGGUCGGAAUCUUGAGUUCGACGGCGACGAGGAGCAGCGUUAGGUAAGUGUCGUUGUCCUCCUUUUUGAGUGUGUUUGUGCUAGCUAACACGACGGAACUAGCUAGGCUACUUUGGCCAGAAUCUUGAGUUCGACGGCGACGAGGAGCAGCGUUAGGUAAGUGUCGUUGUCCUCCUUUUUUGAGUGUGUUUGUGCUAGUUAGACAACUUGUAGUUGAGUUUUCAAACCUUGAAUUACAGUUUAAGGAAGCGAGUUUACGGCGAUGUUUCGGACCCAAUUCCGACCAAAUUGAUCUUGACCCUAGGUAUAAGAAUUGCUCUCCUUGUUCUGAGCUACACAUUUGAUGUUGGGAGUUUGUCCAAAUUUUGAAGUUUUGUGGCAGCGCGUGGCGGCGUGUCCGGUAGUGUCUGUGGUGUUUGUGGUGAUGGUUAGGUAGUACUCAUCGAUACGUUUGUGUUGAUAUGUGAUUUGUAGAUUUUUGGUUACCAAUAUUGCAUGCUAGGACUUUUUGGUUAAUCUUAGACUUGUGCAAGGUUUUGAGUUUCUGUUUUGGGAAUUAGAAGCAGCAGGUUUUGGGUCGUUUAAUUCGAUGACCUUGGAAGGUUGUCCUCUUUUGGGCUAAGGUUAGUUUAAGGGUGUUUGAUAUCCUAUAGUACUUUAGUUACUAAGGUUAUUAAUUGUGUAAUUAUAGGUGACUUGUGAAGUGUGUUUUGGCUUGGCUCUUGUGUUGUGUUGACACAACAGGAAUAUUUAGGUGAGUAACAUCUCACAAAGGUCCACUUUGGGACCAAUUAUUUAUGGUUAUUGUGAUGAUGAUUAUGAUGAUGAUUGUGAUGAUGAUUAUAAUUUAAAAAUUAUGUUUUUAUUUGUUUUAAAAUAUAUGAGCUUGAUCGUCAAUGACUCAUAGGUAAGAUAAAACAAGUUUUUCUAUUAUAUGAUUAUUUUUUAAGGUUCAUGUGAUCAUAAUAUUGUUGGUUUUUGAUAGAUUAUUCUUGUAGAAAUAUCUAUGUUUGUUCAUAUAAAUAUAUCUAUGUGGAAGGAUAUAAUUUUUAUGAUGUGCUCUUUGUGUUGUUGAUGAUGUUGAAUUAAAGAAUAUGCUAUAGUUUGUUUUUAAAUAUAUGAGUUUGAUCGCCAACGGCUCAUAGGUAAGAUAAAACAAAUUUUCCCUAUUAUAUUGUGAUUUAUUGUGUAGAUAGUCAAACUGGGUUCUAAGCCUUUAAUCGGGUGAUUGGUUACGGUUAUGAUGAUUCUACUCUAUUGUGAAUUGUUGUGUAGAUAGUCAAACUAGAUUCCAAGCCUUUAAUCGGGUGAUUGGUUAUGGUUAUGAUGAUUCUACUCUAUUGUGAUUUGUUGUUUAAAUAGUCAAACCGGGUUCCAAGCCUUUAAUCCGGUGAUUGGUUACGGUUAUGAUGCUAUUAUUAUUUUGUGAUUUAGUAUUGGAUAGUCAAACUGGGUUCCAAGCCUUUGGCUGGAUGAUUGGUUAUAGUUACGAAUAGAGCUCUAGUCCGUCUGUCGGUGUAGGUCAUGGGAGGUACCUGAAGGUAUCUAGGACCCAUGAGUACAUAAAUUGUUGUUGUAGGUCAUGAGAGGUAUUUAUUAAUAUCUGGGACUCAUGGGUACAUGUAUAUUUGUUGUAGGUCAUGGGAGAUACCUUAUUGGUCUCUAGGACUCAUGAGUACAUGUAUAUCUGUAAAAGUAUUAGUUAUGUGGUUUUAACAUUGUUCUUAUUUGUUGUCAUUUAAUUUCCUUGUUUUGAGAAUCUCCUGAACUAUGCUUAAUGCAAGAGAUUCUUUAAUCUUAUUGUAUGAUUUUUAGUGGAAUUCAUGAACUAUCCUUUUUGCAUGAUUCACUUAUGAUUUUGAUUUGUUUUGUGAAUUGUUGUGUUUUAUUAUUUAUUCUCUUUUGAAUUUUAUUGUUUUGAGGCAAUUCCUGAACUAAGUUCUAAAGCAGGAAUUCCCGGUUUUAUCUAUGUGAUGUUGGGUUGAGUUAUUUUUGGGAGUUACUCAUAUGGGCUUUUUAGCUCACCGAGUUUGUUGUUUACAACUCGGUGCACCAAUUCAUGGUAUAUGGGUUAGACCUGCUGGUGAUAAUCAGUAGGGUUGAGACGGAGGCAUAGUGACAGGGUUUUUAGUUGUUGUACUCUUGAUAUUAUUAUUUUUGGUAGACAGCAUUAAACUCAUUUGAGUGUUUUCAUUUCUUAACUUUCAAGUUUAUGUAAACAAGAAAAUGUAAUAUUUAACUUGAUGUUGAGUUGUAUUUUUUUUUGGACGAAAUGCAGGUAUAUUAAUCAACACUACCAGAAGAAAGACUUUAGCCGACGAAAAUAAAAAAACCAGGCCGACGAAUUAUUUUUUCGUCGACAAAAUUUCCCUUCGUCGGCUAAUUUAAAAUUUUCGUCGGCUAUGGUCAACUUUAGCCGACUAAAUUAAAAUUUCGUCGUCUGAAUAAUUUUUUUCGUCGGCUAUAGUCUGUGAACUUUAGCCAACGAAAUUUUUAAAAGUUUAGUCGACGAAAAAUAUAAUUUCGUCAGCUAAAGUGCCUUAAUUUCCUCGGCUAAAGUGUCUUAUAUUUGUAGAUCUAGACAACAACUCAUCUGGGAAAAAAAAACUAUACGUAGAACCUUCAAACGCAAAAAAGUCGUGAAAUAAGAUAUUACCAGAAUGGUGAAAUACGUCUACGGUUGAAAAAUCACGGUAUUCCGGUAAAGUCUCGGUGCCGAUAGUUGCGGUCAAUGCAAUUUACCCUUAUUAUUCACUAUGUUGCAGAUUUGGCGUUUCGUGUACGAUUGACUGUUGUGAUACCUUUCCGGAAGCGUAACUGCCCUACGAGUCCGUUUAGGGCUUCAAAAUGCAGUUUUCUUAUUUCCGAUUAGAGUUGACCGCUUCGAUCGAGCCCUUAACGUUGUCGAAUCCAGUUGAAUUUUUUACCAUAGACAUCUUUCGUCAUAAUGAUCAUAUCUGACGGUCGAAUUUUGGUUUGUGAAUUUUAGUCAACGGAAUCACGUGUACUAUUUACCGUUAUUAUUCCCUAUGGGGAGCCCUAUCGUCGGAAGGUAAAUGUCUCAAAAUUUUUAUAUGGGCAGUUGUGUCUCAUCUACGUGAGAGUUUUUCGUGUGGAAGGUUUGACCAAACUACGUAAUAUAGAGGGAGAUAUGAGCAUUUUCGUGUGAUAAGUGACGAUUGAUUAGGGUUGACCGUUUCAAUCGAGCCCUUAACGUUGUCGGAUCCAGUUGAAUUUUUUACCAUAGACAUAUUUCAUCAUAAUGAUCAUAUCUGACGGUCAAAUUUUGGUUUGUGAAUUUUAGUCAUCGGAAUCACAACGUGUCUACUAAUGUUAUAUAACCUGUUUAGUAGGUUUGAGCAAACUACGUAAUAUAGAGGGAGAUAUGAGCGUUUUCGUGAAUUUAUAGACUUUAGCCGACGAGAUAUUAAAAAAGUCGUCCGCUAAGGUCAAAAUUUUUUUGGCGGUAAACCAAAUUUGGAAGAAAAUUUUUAAAGGACUUUAACCGACGAAAAUAUAUGGAAAGUCGUCGGCUAAAGUCAAAAAAUUUUCAAAAUUUUCAACCAAAAUUUUUGGCGGUCAACCAAAAUUUUCAAAAGAGUUUAGCCGAUGAAAAUAAAUAAUUUCGUCGGGUAAAGUUCUUUAUAUAAGAGUUUUACCGGAGGUGGAUGGUAAGAAGUUAGAAAAUCAGAAAAAGUUCACGAUUUUCUUUUCGGCCUAGCUCCGCCGUCAAGCCACCGGAGACCGCCACACUUGUCCCAAAAGCUUCGCCAUCGUCUCUACUUUAUUGCUAGACAGGUGGUGCAUCGAGUGACGUCGCCGUGAGGGAUAAGUCGAGCUCCAAAACUCCGCCGGUUCGGAUUCGGUGUCGAUCGAAUUUCUCCUUCCUCAGGUCACCAUUUGGUGUGUUCUAUAUAUGGAUAAGUUGAGUUUGAUUAGAACUACAUUCCCCUAGAAUUUGGUUGCUCGAUUCGGUGUGUGUGAGGAGAAUCGAAGAUUUGAAGUUUUUAGAGUUUAAAAUUGGGGAUUUUUAUAUUUUGAUUCAAUUGACCUGUUUAGGCUUAGAAUUGGGCUUGACUUUUUCUAGAAAGUUGUUCGAAAUGUUGAGAGGAAGAUUCUGUUAAAUUUUGGUGGUGAUUGGAGGUGGCUGAAAGUUUCUGCAGUUUUUUUUUUCAAAAACCAGCAACUUUAGCCGACGAUAUUUAAAGGUUCAUUCGUCGGCUAUAGUAUUUUUAAAUUUUUUUAUAAGGUUUACCCGACGAAUUAUGGGAUAUUUCGUCGGCUAUAGUUAUUUUUUAAAUUUUUUUUAUAAGGUUUAGCCGACGAAACAGACUAUAUUUCGUCGGCUAUAGUUAUUUUUUAAAAUUUUUUAUAAGGUUUAGCCGACGAAACAAACUAUAUUUCGUCGGCUAUAGUUAUUUUUUUAUUUUUUUAUAAGGUUUAGCCGACGAAACAGACUAUAUUUCGUCGGCUAUAGUCUGGGAAAAUAUUUUUUAUUACAGACUUUAGCCAACGAAUAUCUUAAUUGUUUCGUCGGCUAAAGUCUGGAAAAAAAACCGACGACAUAUUUUUCGUCGGCUAAACUGUGGGACUAUAACCAACGAAAUUAUUUUUUUCGUCGGCUAAAGUCAUCACCGACGACAUUUUUCUGACGAAAUCUUAGCCGACGAGCCAUCGUCGGCUAAGAUCUUAGCCGACAAAUUAAACUAACAGGCCGACGAAACUUUUUCGUUGGCUAAAGUGCUUAUCCUGGUAGUGCAAGGCACGUGGCGAAAGAAGAACAAGGGACACAGCCCAGAGCAGACAAAGUUUGCAAACAAGAUUUUCAUAGUGAUUGCCAAGACAAGCAAGACUAGAGAAAUCAAAGAAAAACAACAAAACAAAUACAAAGUCUGAGAACGAUAAAGAAAAAGCCGAAAUCCAACAGAUAUAGAGUAGCAACAGAAGAUUCCGUUUAGCUGAAGCCACCAAAGAGGGGAUCAUGAAGAUGGAGGGCAAGGCAACCCAUCUCUCGAGAGAAUACCAACAAGGGAGGAUGGCGGACGGUCAAUCCAGACGUCCGGGCACAUUCUCCGCACCGUAAGCGAGGCGAGGUUAUCCGCCGCCGAAUUCGCUUUCCUUGAGAUCCAAGACCAAACAAAACUUUGCCAGAAAGAGGGAGAGUUCUUGAUCUUUGCAACAGCAGGGUAGAUGCUCCAGAUAUUGCAAUUGAAGGGAGAAUUGAUAGCAUCAAUCAAGCAUUUCGAAUCAGAUUCGAUGAUGAUUGGAAAAGGGGUGAGCUUUUCGGCAAGAGAACAAGCUUCAAUACCCGCGCGAGCUUCCGCUUCAAGAGCCGAACCCGCUCGACAAGUCGUAUGAACACCAUCAAUUAAAUCACCAUGGCAAUUCCUUGCAACAACUCCAAUACCUACUAGGUGAGUAUCCAUUGCCCAAGUUGCAUCAAAAUUUAUCUUUAUGUGUCCUUGUGAUGGAGGUUUCCAAUGCUCACAGUUGUGAUGGGCAGAUGCAUUGUGUGUGUGAAGGUUUGUGUGAUGGUGAUGAACAUGAUUUUGGUUAGUUCGGGGAGGUGGUGGAGGAAUGGGCUCUGGGUUAAUUUGACUUGGAGGGAGUGAACUGAUGGGAUUUAGAUGGUGGGGUGGAUGAGUUGGAUGGGAUUCACUAAUAGUUGAAAGAGAAGGCCAUGGAAUAUUAGUAUCGAUGUUGAGUUGUGUUGACAUUACAUUUUUGCAUUUGAGUUUAGUCUUCUUUAAGUUUGUUGAUCAGGUCUUGGGAAUUAUAUUAUUGUGAGUUAUAUCAUACCCAAAUUUUUAAAAUUUGUCAUUCGAAAAUUGGGGUGUGACACCUAAUCUCUCUGUUCUUUUUUGGGUUGAAAAACUAAGCCAAGCUCUGUGAACCCAUGACUUUAACUAGGCCAAGCUCGAGAUUCACCUUCUUACUAAAAUAUAGAGGAUAAAGUUUUCUUGUAAACUUUUUGUGUUUUGUUGAUAGACUGUCAAUAUGGAUCUUCUUGUUGAGGAAAUCGGUAGUUCAGUGUCUAUAUUUAUAUUUUAUGUGUAUCCCUUUAGAUUGUGAUGCUGCAUUGUUAUAGUUGUGAUGCAAAUAGUUUUUGGAUCUUUGUUGUUUGCUUCUUUUUAGAUUCUGAUGCUGCAUUGGUGAAGAGUUUCAGUUCUCUUUCUGACUUUAUGUUAGUAUCUUUCUGAAACAGCAACAACUAUACGUUUACUGAUCUCUAGCACCAUCAACAAUAUCUAAUUUGCCUUCUGGGUUGAUUCUGCUAUAUUGUUAGAGUUUGGAUUGUUAACAUCAAUCGGUUCUGGUCAUCUUAAUCAUUUAUUUUCUCUCCACAGUGGUUUUGAUCAAUUUUUUCUUGCCAGCGACAUGCAUUAGCAAUUAUUGACACUAACCUGCUGAAUAUAAGCACUAUAGUAUGUAACAAACAUCCAUUUUUUGUACAUUUGAGACCCCUCAAUAGAACCAGUACGUUGGAAUAAAACCAAACGAGAAAAAGGAAAAGAAAAAAAAACAUGGCAAAAGUGAGAGAAAUUGAAGUCAUUGAUCAUAUAGCCUUUUGCUUGCGUUUCAGUUCUGGAUAGUAGAAGAGCUUGGUCAGAUGCCCUUGGAAAAAGCCGCAAAACUAAAUAAAAAAAGUAGCUAGUAGCUACCCUUCAUUAAUCUAAUGAUCAGCAUAUAUUCACCAUAUCUCACUAUAUAUCCAUGAUCCAUCUCAACACUUUAUCUUAACUCUGAAGUUCAUAACUAAACCAUGUUUUACAAGUUUCCUCUACCCCUAAAAUUGUUAGAUAUAUGCACUAAGACUGGGAAACUUGAUUCUAGUGCUUUUGAAGCAUUGUGUAACUAGACAGGACAAAUCGUUACUAAGUUAUCGUUUUUGAUCGACUUUCGAUCCUGAUUCAGUUCUUUGUCUGGCAUACAAUAUAUGAAGCAAUAUUCUGCAAAAUAAAUUUGUAACAAUAUGCCUCUAGCAUCAACUUGUUUGUCGUGAUUUUUGUUAAUCGAUCUCUUGUACUAUUCCUUAUACAUGCACCUUUGGAUGGAUCAUAUAUGUUAUGUGAUUGCUUGUUUCCAUGGGUGUUCACCGGAAAUCAUGAAGUCUGCCGGCUCCAAAUCCUACCUACAACCAUAAAACACAAGUGUUAGAGAGGAAAAACUAAGGUUGCUGGCCUUCCACUCUCCGACGCCCAAGUUAGGCAAGUGUGAGAGAGAGGGAAGUAGAGUAGAAUAAGGAGUGGUGGUGUACCAUUAUGAGAGGAGGUGUGUCUAUUUAUAGAGCUAGGGUAUGCUUGUACCCUCAAAUUACCAUAUUGUCCUUAGGUGGAGAGUGUGGACUCUUGGGCUUUCACAUGUGUUGGGCCAUAUUUAAGCUUUUUAGGUAACGUUUGGCAUGUGAUCCCGGUGUUUGGGCCCGGAAAAGGGUCCGGGUAUAAACAAGUCUUCUAAGUCACCGAUCAAGAACUCUCUUGGGUGGGGAGUUUGUAAAAAUGGAAAACAUCGGGAGCACACGGUAAACAGCUAGAAAGAGGCACCCUACUGGGGUGGCUAGUCCCCCAAGUCCCCAUGCAAGAGAGGAAUGGACCAGGUCCCGCUAAGUAAGGUGCCGCUUAUUGCUAUGAAGUUACUUCUUCAAAUGCGUGAAGUCUCAGGGAAGGUAUACAAGAGGACAUGUCACAUGCUAGGAGGAGAAAAUAUGGUGAUAUACAUAACGUGGUUGCCUCUAGUGGUCUCUAGAGUGCCUACGUACCUAUUUAUGGGAUCAAACCAACCGUAGUUCACUUUUUCUUUAGUUUUGUGGUUUUGUAACCACUAUCGCUAUGUUUAAUAAGGUGUUGGUAUGCCGUUAAGGCAAAGAUACGCCGCCGAGGCAUGGCGAGUGUGCCGUUAAGGCAUGAAGAGUGAGUCGUUAAAGCAUGGUGAGUGUGCCAAUAAGGCAUGAAGAGUGAUGUUGAAGCCUAGAGGAAAAGUUAUUGAAGCGUAUGGCAGUCUAGCUGAGACUGGCAGGUGUUGGUGACGAGCGAGAGAGGGUGUCAUUGAGGCAUGAUGGGUGUGCCACUGGGGAAUGGCAAAGUUGGUGAGACAUGGCCUGAGGUUGCUUAAGGGUGUAAGAGAUGUUGUUGAAGCGUGGAAGAGGGACUGGUGGAGCCCAAGGGAUAUAUCACGCUACAAUGGAGAAAAGCUACCGAGUUGGAACAUGGAGGGGUACUGAGGUGGACUGAGGGGGAGCUUACCGUGUUAGGAUGUGGUGGAGCAUACUGAGAUGGACCUUGGAGGAGUUUACCGUGUUAGGAUAUGGUGGAGUGUACAAAGCUGGACUGUGGAAAAGUUUUCCGUGCGCUAGGUGGAGUAAAGAGGUAACAUGUUGGAUGUUUAAGUCCCCUAGUAUCGAGAGGGAUUGUUGAUACAUGCCGGGAUUAGCAUUCGUCAUUCAUUUCAUUUCAUGCCGUGACUAGGCAUUUUGCAUUCAUUGUGUCGCUCAUAGGCUUAACAAAUUUACUAGUGCCGUUAUUUGGCUUAAAUAUUGAGCCAUCGCUUGGCGUCAUUAUGCCGUUAUUUAGCAUUAAACAUUGAGUCAUCACUUGGCUUUGUAAAAUUGGUGUCGUGGUUAGGCAAUAAUGACCCAUCAAUUGGCUUUUAAUUUGGUGCCGUGGUUAGGCAAUGAUGAUCCAUCACUUGGCUUUGUAAAAUUGGUGUCGUUGGUUAGGCAAUAAUGAGCCAUCACUUGGGCUUAUAAAAUGGUGUCGUUAUUUAGCUACAGUCAUUGAGCCACUAUUUGGGCUUAUAUAAUGGUGUCAUUAUUCGGCAAUAAUCAUUGAGCCACUAAUUGGGCUUAUAAAAUGGUGCCGUUAUUUGGCAAUAAUCAUUGAGCCACUACUUGGGCUUAGAGCAUCUCCAACAGCUUCCUUAAAAUUUCUCUAAAAUGGGGAAGCAAAAGUUAAAUUCUCCAAAAAAAUUAUGAUCAAAAUCCAGCAGCUUCUCUAUUUUGGAGAUUUCGGUAUUUAAUACAACAAUAAAAUAUAAUAUAUCAUCAUGAAUUAUAACAAAAAAACAUUAUAUAUUUCAUUGUAACAAUAAACUACCCAAUCAAAUAUUUUAUUGUUGUUUUAAAUUUGUUGGAGUACGUGAAGAAUUUAAUUUUGGGGAAGGAAGGCUUUGCUGCAAAUUUGGGGAAUGAAGACUUCUUUUUCUUCUUCAUCCCCAUUUUGGGGAAUGGGAUGGGGAAGCUGUUUGACCUAAAAAGAGCUCUAUAUUCCCCAAAAUUGAGAAGUUCAAGAAAAUAGGAAAGCUGUUGGAGAUGCUCUUAUAAAAUGGUGUCGUUAUUUGACAUUAAAUAUUGAGUCAUUACUUGGGCUUAUAAAAUGGUGCCGUUAUUUGGAAAUAAUCAUUGAGCCACUACUUUGACUUAUAAAAUGGUGUCGUUAUUUGACAUUAAACAUUGAGCCAUCACCUAACGUAUAAUCAUGCAAUUAUUUAGCAUUUUCAUUCACCACGAUACCAUGACAAAGAGUGAUCGUAGCGGAGAGUACACUAAUAGGCUUACCUUUCAAUAUGCAUGAACCAAUCUGGUUACUGCUUUGGUGCGCAGUUAUCUUGCCAGUUAUGGGUUUACACCGAAGUGUUUUAAAAAAUGAUGUUGUGGUUUUUGCAAUACAGGACCUAGAAUACUUGUUGGAUUUUGAGUUUUGUAAUUGGUUUUGAUAUUACACUUUGUGACUUAAACUUGAACUUCUUCAUCUCUUGUCUGCAUAUAUGUAUGCUCAAAAUCCUUAUAGUUUCUCUACUGCUCGUGCUACAACAUAUGACAUGGUUUACGAUACAGUAUCUUUCGUAGUUUCUUCUGCAUCAGUUUCAAGUCCAAUGAAUUUGGUAGUACACACUCCUGGGCACUUUCACAAUUCAACACGCAGAUAGAAGUCUUCUUCAUCACGCAGCCUCUCACCUAUCACAAGCAAUCAACAUCUCUAUCUGCGUGUUGAAUUGUGAAAGUAUCCAAGGAGUAUCCGAGUUCAUGAUACUCAAGUUAAAGCAGGUGAUGGCUGAGAUGUUGAUUUUGAAAGAGUGAUGUUCGUUACGAGAGGAGUGUGGGAAAAAUAAAUAAGUUUUUUUCAUUUAUCUUUGUUUAUUUAUUGGCUAGAUUGUUGUUCUUCUUUUUUUGUGUGAGAAGGAUAGGCAUAGAUUUGUUUUUGUUAUUCAACCGACCAUUAUUAAAUAAAGAUCAAUCUAUUUUUAUUUUUAUUUUUAUUUUCAAUGUGAUUGUGUUGUAUAUAAAUAAGGGAGGGAGGUAAAUGAGUAGCUGUUUUUUUUUUUCGAUUAAGAAAUGAGUGGCUGGUUUGCUUCUCCAUUUUCCAGAGAGAAGAUCCGAGAGUACGCGACUUCAAGUGGCCACAUGGAUUUUCUCCCAAAUCUGCCCAGAUAAGUCUUUGUUUGUUUUUCUCUGUUUGAUUCAGAUUUGCUCUGACCAUUUGCUUGUUAAAGAUUCAAGCUAUAACUAAACAAAACUCAUAUGCAUCUCGUUAAGUUAAUGGGUAAAUGCAGAUUACAUGGUUAGAUAUAUAAUUUGAGCGAGCCCAAAUAAUUGAAAUGCUAGAUCGAUUUUGGGAAAUGAGCUUGAUUUGAUUGUUGAUGUUAGUUAAGGUCUUUUUUCUCUCACGUACUAAUAGGCUUACCUUUCAAUAUGCCUGGACCAGUCUAGUCACUGCCUUGGUGCGCAGCUAUCUUGUCAAAGUGUCUCGAAAAAUGAUGUUGUGGUUUUUGCAAUCCAUGGCCUAGACUACUUGUUGGAUUUUGAGUUCGGUAAUUAGUUUUGAAAUUACACUUUGUGAUUUAAACAUGAACUUCUUCAUCUCUUGUCUGCAUAUAUGUAUGCUUAAAGACCCUUAUUGUUUCUCUAUUGCUCGUGCUAUAGCAUAUGACAUGGUUUACAAUACACUAUCUUUUGUAGUUUUUUCUCCAGCAGUUUCAAGUCCGAUGCGUUUGGUAGUACACACUCUUGGACACUUUCACAAUUCAACACAUAGAUAGAAGUCUUCUUCAACACGCAGACUCUCAACUUUCAUGAGCAAUCAACAUCUCUAUCUGCGUGUUGAAUUGUUAAAGUUCUCAGGGAAUAUCCGAGUUCGUACUACUCAAGUUAAAGCAGGUGAUGGAUGAGAUGUUGAUUUUGAAAGAGUGAUGUUCGUUACGAGAGGAGCGCGGAAAAAAUAAAAUUAGUUUUCUUCAUUUAUCUUUGUUUAUUUAUUGGCCACACUAUUCUUUUUCUGUUUUUUGUGUGAGAAGGAUAGGCCCAGAUUUGUUGAUAUUCAACCCACAAUUAUCAAAUAAAGAUCAAUCCUAUUUUUAUUUUUAUUUUUAUUUUUUGUUUUUAUUUUCAAUGUGAUUGUGUUGUAUAUAAAUAAGGGAGGGAGGUAAAUGAGUGGCUAGUUUUUUUUUUUUUUCGAUGAAGAAAUGAGUGGCUUAUUUGCUUCUCCAUUUUCCAAAGGAGAGAAGAUCCGAGAGUACGCAACUUCAAGUGGCCACAUGGAUUUUCUCCCAAAUCUGCCCAGAUAAGUUUUUGUUUGAUUUUCUCUGUUUGAUUCAGAUUUGCUCUAACUAUUUACUUGUUAAAGAUUCAAGCUUUGAGAUGAACUAAACAAAACUCAUAUGCAUCUCGUUAAGUUAAUGGGUAAAUGCAGAUUACAUGGUCAGAUAUCUAAUUUGAGUGAGCUCAAAUAAUUGAAAUGUUGGAUCGAUUUUGGAAAAAGGUAGCUUGAUUUGAUUGUUGAUGUAAGUUAAGGUCUUUUUCUCUCACCUACUAAUAGGCUUACCUUUCAAUAUGCCUGGACCAGUCUGGUUACUGCCUUAGUGCGCUAGUUAUCUUGCCAGUUCUAGGUUUACACCNNNNNNNNNNNNNNNNNNNNGUUAAGACUCCUCAAGUAUUUAGAACCAUCUUUGCGCUUGAUCCUAAACAUGAAUGCUAACUCAUUUAAAGACACGUUGCGUAGAGAUUAAACAAGAAAACACUUUAGCACACGAGUCAAUCGGAAACAUGAUCUAAGGCAUGGCGUCACUCAUUCUAUUAGCAUGCAAAUUAUCAGAAUUAUAUCCGCCCUAAGUUAAUAAUAGAGACCAAGACAACUUUGCGUAUGAAUUGAUCCAAAAUUAUUAUGGUAGAUGAAACCGCACCUUAAGGACAACCAUGGCCGAGGCAGCCUCAAGGAUUGAUUUAGAUGCACGAAUUCAUGACAAUUAAUCAAUUAGAAAUCAAAAACACAUAAGAACAUGCUACUGCCCCAAAACCUAAAUCACGAAAUCAUCAUAUAUUCAAGAAGUUACAAAUCAAAACAUAGAACAAUCAAAGAUCACAAAGAAAUCCGAAAACCAUGUUUGAUAAAUAAAACCAAAAUCGAAAAGUAUAUUACAAUAGAGUUCGAACCUAUACAGAAAAUAAUACAAGAAGCCAUGAGAAAAUCACACUUUUACAACCUUGAAAGGUUCGGCAAGUGUGGGGAAAAUCGGUGGAAGGAUGGAAUGAUUCUUAUGGUUUGUGGUGGAUGAAUCGGCUAAGUAAUUUUCUGUAUAGGGUUUGGUAGAGUUUCGGCUAUGUAAUUGCAAGAGUAGAGAUGAUCUUUUUCUGUCCUUGAAGUCGUGCUUUAUAUAGAGGAAAAACCCUAGAGAAGUCGGCCACAAAGCCUAAACCAAGUUGGUUUAGGAUUCCUAGUUCUUCUCAAUUUCGGCAGAAUGACCUCCGUCUGAUGAUUACUUCAUAACUCCCUCUAGAAAAUAGAUAUUGAGGUGAUUCCAAUUGAUUUGGAAACUAGACUCCCGUAGCUCUCUAUCCAUAUCUAGCACGUUUUCUGAUUCAUUGUGAGCUGUCUUGGAGAGUCCGUUGAAGUUGACAGACGUGCACAGGAAUUCUCCCGAUUUAAUCUGGAUUUGCAAGGCUUGGAUAUUCUUGAAAUUCCGCCGAAUUUAUAUCUUCUUCUCCAUAUUGGACUUGGUUUGGACCUCUCAUUCAUGGACUAGGCUUCGUGGAUCAGCUGCUUUGCUUCCCUAGGUCCAUCAGGAACACUCCUCUCGACACUCUUCUACAUGUCACCUAAGUAUCAGAGAAGUUAAAUCAAUUUGUGACAAUGUAAAAGCUUUACAAAAUCAUAAAAACAUCUCUAAGGCUCCACAAAUCGGCUUUUGACAAUUUUCUACAUCAUUCCUCUAUGUUUAACACGUUUUACACACAACUCUACCAAAAACUUUCGACUCUACAUUAUGACUUUAUUCUACGACAAUAAGAGAUAAUCAAAGUACAAAUGGAGGUAAUAACAUAUUAAGAAUGUCGCAUUUUAUGCUCCUAUCACAACACAAGUUAAAGCAGGUGAUGAAUAAGAUGUUGAUUUUGAAAGAGUUAUGUUCGUUACGAGAAAAAUAACAUUAAGUUUUUUUCAUUUGUCUUUGUUUAUUUAUUGGCCAUACUGUUCUUCUUUUUUCUUUUUUUUGUGAGAAGGAUAUGCCCAGAUUUCUUGUUGUUAUUCAACCCACACCAUUAUUGAAUAAAGAUUAAUCCAUUUUUAUUUAUAUUUUUAUUUUUGUUUUUAUUUGCAAUGUGAUUGCAAUUGUGUUGUAUAUAAAUAAAAGAGGGAGGUAAAUGAGUGGAUGAUUUUUUUUUUCGAUGAAGAAAUGAGUGGUUGGUUUGCUUCUCCAUUUUCCAAAGGAGAGAAGAUUCGAGAGUACGCAACUUCAAGUGGCCACAUGGAUUUCCUCCCAAAUCUGCCCAGAUAAGUCUUUGUUUGCUUGUCUCUGUUUGAUUCAGAUUUGCUCUGACCAUUUACUUGUGAAAGAUUCAAGCUUUAAGAAACAAAACCAAUCUGCAUCUCGUCAAGUUAAUGGGUAAAUACAGAUUACAUGGUUAGAUAUCUAAUUUGAACGAGCUCAAAUAAUUGAAAUGCUAGAUCGAUUUUGGAAAAGGAGCUUGAUUUGAUUGUUGAUGUUAGUUAAUGUCUUUUUUCUCUCACCUACUAAUAGGCUUACCUUUCAAUAUGCCUGGACCAGUCUGGUUACUGCCUUAGUGCGCAGUUAUCUUGCCAGUUCUGGGUUUACACCAAAGUGUUUCGAAAAAUGAUGUUGUGGAUUUUGCAAUCUAGGGCCUAGACUACUUGUUGGAUUUUGAGUUCUGUAAUUGGUUUUGAAAUUACACUUUGUGACUUAAACUUGAACUUUUUCAUCUCUUGUCUACAUAUAUGUAUGCUCAAAGUUCUUAUUGUUUCUCUACUGCUCAUUUUAUAGCAUAUGACAUGCUUUACGAUACACUAUCUUUCGUAGUUUAUUCUCUAGCAGUUGCAAGUCCAAUGCAUUUGGUAGUACAUACUCCUGGGUAAUAAACUUAUAUACUUGAGUUUUAUAAACUUUGUUUUUGAAAUUUAUUAUUAGGGACACCAUAGGCGGCCUCUUGUUUCUUUCAUCAAAUACUUAUCUUGUUCUCAUAUUAGUUAUCAGUCAGUCUUCUCUCUUUGUUUACUUUUCUCUUGUAUUGCAUUCUAGAUAUGCCAUUUUGGAUGUAUAACAGGUCAAGAAUAAACUUGUUCGCGAAGUCAUAGAUUUUGUCAAGGGACAUAGAUCACUUUUUUAGCAUGUUCUUCGACAAGAUGUCUCCCAAGUUGAUGACUUGGUGAUGGAGCAGAUCAACCUUGUUGUUGGAUUACCAAGCAGGUAUGAAUAUUAAGUGUGUUUUUGUUUGCAUAAGAUGCAGUCUAUUUCUCUUUCUCUUAGUCAACUUCAAUAAUAUGGCUCUCAAACUUUCUUUUUCAAUCAUAAACUGGUCCGGAAAGAGGUACAUUGUCCAUUUUCUGACAGCCUCUUGUUGGAUCUUAAAAGAUAUGUUGUUCCGUUCCUACAUGUGUGGUAUGCUUGUAUAAACUGUCCUGCUAUUUUUGUCCACUCUUCGAAAAAGUGCGAUGCUCUAGAUUCUCCAUAUAAAGAUAGUGACGAAUCUGGUUUUGUUCAAGGGCUUGAUGCAUGCUCUUUUCUCUUGUGACUGUGAGACUCUGAGUUCUGCUCAAUCAGUUCAAUCUGUUGAUUUUUCCAGAGCCAACUUCAAAGCAGGGGUUUCCUAAGAUCUUGUCGUACAAACAUCAGCAGCUUAUCUUAUCAGGUGCUUGUUUAAUUAACUAAGUCAUUUUGUUGGCUAGACAAGAACUAAAAAUAUAAUAUAGAAGUAGAUAAGAGUUAAAGCUCACCGUGCUUGGGUAGGCAUUUUUUUUUUUAGCACUACUAAAAGUCUUUCCAUUCUCCUUGUUUAAGAACACGGUGCAAUAGAAAAUAAAAAGAAAAAAAAAAAACAAAAACUUUGCCUCUUUUUAGAGUGUAAAAUCCUAGGAACAAGUAACAUUUAUCCCACCCCAAAAUUUGGUAUAUAACUCGAAAAUAUUUUAAAACUCCUUUAUAUUUGCUGUAAAUUGGAUGAAAACAACACUUUUACAAUCUUGACUCUCUUGUGCAAUUUUUUGAAUAUCAAAUUAACGAUUAUGUAUGCACUGCAGAUUUGAGACAUAAAUGAAGUAUCAAGACAUGAGGUGGAUGAAAUUAUCAAUAUGUUUGCUUGGCAAGUAUGUGUUUCAUCAUCUGACAACAUACAGAAAAGGUCCUCCCUCCCUAACAUUGUUCGGAAAAGUAAGACCAAUCUAAUGUGAAGGUUUUCAACUGGGGUGCCUUUUUUUUAUGCAAUUGAAUACUUGUGUAUUGCGAGUUUGAGUUAUGAAUGUAUUUUUAGCUUUGAAGCAAUAGCAAAAUAGGAUGUACAACUAAUACCUGGUGAAAAAAGAAACAGUAUCAAUGAAAGCCUAGUUCAAUGCGUAGUUUGUAUUUCAGUGCAAAACCAGCUAAUGAUAGCGUGAUGAACAUAUUUUUUUAUUUUUUAAGCAAUAGUGAACAGGAAAUACAAAUAAUAGUUGGUGAAACUAAACGAACAAUAGUAACAAUUAAAGAUUAGUUCAGCGCUCAAUUUGUAUUUCAGUUCCCCAGUUAGAUAGUCAUGUUCUAUGUCUAUCACCAUUAAAUCACAUAGAAAAUUUUAUGUGUACACACAUACAUAUAUAAAUAUAUAUGUAUAUGUAUGUAUAUUAGCCCCCUUCUAAUGAGAGAUCCUAUUUUUUGGGUUUAUAUGAGGGACACACUCUCUGCCGUCCGAUCUGUUUUAAUGAGCUGCAACGGCUCAGAUCAAGUCAAGUUAAUAAACCCAGUUCUACCCCGAGUUAACCCAACUUGUGCGUGACUCUUCCGUUUCCCAAUUCUCAAACUCAUCGAUCUCUUCCUUCUUUGUCGCUCAUGAUGAAAAGACCGCGAAACGAAAGUAAGAGAAGCUCGAGGAGCCACUCACAGAGAGAAAGAUCAAGAGAAACCGGUCAAAAGAGAGAAAGCUCGAUAAUCAUCUAUGGUUUGCUUUUACUUCCAAGUUAAAAAGGUAUGACGAUCUUCUGCUCUUAAUAAAUUUCUUUCCAAUUUCGUUUAUAUGAGCUUUGGGUUUAUGAUGUUUUUGAUUGUUCAAAUAAGCAUGGGUGAAGAAUGGUCUUCAACUUGACUAAACUGAAAAAGAAUAGUGAGUUGAUUAUAUCAUUCCAUGACAAUAGAAUAAAGCAAACAUUCGUGAUAACAAUUCAGUUUUGUUACCCUUAAUGUCAUCACAACACAACUCUUAGCUUCACUAAAUUUGAUCAUUACUGAUCGAUAUGUACAAAGAACCAAUUAAUUCGAUUUGGUUGCUUUAUAGAUAUUGUUGUUGUUGUGAGUGUUCUAAAUUUUGUGUGUUUGGUAAGUCUGUGAGUUUGUCAUUGCUUUCUGAUUCCUUUUUAACCAAUUAUAUAUUUGGUUGUUUUGAUGAGGUUUAACGUCAGUAUGACAAUAGAAAAUAUAAUGAAGACACACAAUGCAAUACAUUAAUCAACUGCAUACAUGAAUAUAUAAGAAAAAUUUGUUUGACAUAUUCUAUAAUUGCAUAUUUUAGAACUGUGUAUGAUUUUCAUUGUCUUCGAUUUUCAAGCUCUAACUUCUGUAUUAUUGUUGAUGUUCAAGAAACGGCAGUUGACAUGACAUCGACAGACCUUAUGAAAAUUGAAACUACUGAGAUGUUAGUACUUAUGGAAUUAGAGAUUAAUGAGAUCCUUGUCGCUGAGGAACCAGAAAUUGAUCCUAUUCAAGUUGUCCAUCCGUCACAAGAAAAUAUCUCUACUUCAGCUUUCUAUUCUUAAGUAAGAAAUGAGCUUAAGCCCUUCAAAGGUCAGCAAUUUACAACAUGGGAAGAGGCACAUAAUUUUUAUAAAAAAUAUGCAUCUGUAGCUGGGUUUAUUGUACGACUUGGUUCUAGUAGGAGGAGCAAAAAAACUACUGAGUUUAUAAGUUGAAAGUUUUAUUGCAAUAGACAAGGAUACGGUCUGAGUGAAUUGGUUGGUGAUGAGAAAAGGAUCCGGGGUGUAGUAAGGGAGGACUGUAAAGCAAGAAUGAUAGUUGUGAGAGUAAAGUCUGAUGGAUUUGUAGUUACAAUAUUUGAUGAAGGUCACACUCAUCCUAUGACAAGUCCAAGAAAAAUCCACUUAGUAAAGUCUAAUCGUGGGUUUACUAAAACUCAGCGAUCAUUAUGGGAACAACUAUCCAUGGUAAACAUACCCCCAUGCAAGCAAUUUGACAUUCUUGGAGUUCAAGUAAGAGGUUUUCAGUACAUUGGUUGUAGACAGCAAGAUUUGUACAAUUGUGAAAGGGAUAAGUGUAAAGAGAAAAAAAAGGCAUGAUAGAGAAAUGUUGCAUGACUAUCUAUUACUCGAGCAAGAAAAAAAUUCAGGCUUUUGUUUCACAAUAAAGGCUGAUGCUGAGAAUAAGAUUACUCAUUGUUUUCAAGCUGAUGCAAUUUCAAGACAGUCGUACAAGUUUUAUGGUGAGUCAUUAUCUUUGACACUACAUACUAAACCAAUCGGGUAUAGUUUGAUUUAUGCACCAUUGAUGGGGAUUAAUAAUCAUGGUCAGAUUGUUGUAUUUGGAGUUGCAUUCUUAAGUGAUGAGACUACAUAUCACUACCAGAAGAAAAGCUUUAGCCGAUGGAAAUAAAAAAACCAGGCCGACGAAUUAUUUUUUCGUCGGCUAAAGUCCACGUUAGCCGACGAAAUUUUCCUUCGUCGGCUUUCGUCGGCUAAUUUAAAUUUUCAUCGGCUGAAGAAAUUUUUUCGUCGGCUACACUAUAAAAAUUUCGUCUGCCAAAGUUUUUACUCGUCGGCUAAAGUAUUUUAGUAGACGAAAAAAAAUCUCAUCGGCUAUUAUAGAAAAAAGUCGUCGGCUAAAAGAAAAACAAUAAAAAAAUGUUGUAUAACUUGCAUAGUAGGUUUUAAACAAAUACACAACUUUGUGAACCAACUCUACAUAGAAGCAAAAUUAACAAAAAUCUCAUGAAAUAAGACGUGUUCAGAAUGGUGAAAUACGGCUAUGGUUCAAAAAUCACGUAAAUCGGGUAACGUCUCUGAUGUAAAACAGUCGAAACCCGGUAUGCUGUAGAUUUGGCGUUCGGUGUCCGAUUGACUAUUGUGAUACCUUUCCGGAAGCUUAACGACCCUAAGAGUCAAACUCAUCGCUUUGCCAUGACAUAUGGGCCUUUUUGGCCAUCCGAGUCCGUUAAGGGCUUCAAAAUGCAAUUUUCAUAUUUCCGAUUAGAGUUGACCGUUUCGAUCGAGCCCUUAACGUUGUCGAAUCCAGUUGAAUUUUUUACCAUAGACAUCUUUCGUCAUAAUGAUCAUAUCUGACGGUCGAAUUUUGGUUUGUGAAUUUUAGUCAUCGGAAUCACGUGUCUACUAAUGUUGUAUAACUUGUUUAGUAGGUUAUACAACAUAGGAAGCAAAAUUAUCAAAAAUGUUGUGAAAUAAGAUGUGUUCAGAAUGAUGAAAUAUGGCUAUGGUUCAAAAAUCACGUAAACUGGGUAACGUCUCGGUGCCGAUAGUAGCGGUCAACCCUAUUUACUGUUAUUAUUCCCUAUGGGGAGCCUUAUCGUCAGAAUGUAAAUGUCUAAAAAAUUUUAUAUGGGCAGUUGCGUCUCAUCUACGUGAGAGUUUUUCAUGUGGAAGGUUUGACCAAACUACCAAACUAUGUAAUAUAGAGAGAGAUAUGAGCGUUUUUGUGUGAUAAGUGACGAUGGAUUAGGGUUGACCGUUUUGAUCGAGCCCUUAACGUUGUCGGAUCCAGUUGAAUUUUUUACUAUAGACAUCUUUCAUCAUAAUGAUCAUAUCUGACGAUCGAAUUUUGGUUUGUGAAUUUUAGUCAUUGGAAUCACAACGUGUCUACAAAUGUUGUAUAACUUGUUUAGUAGGUUAUACAACUUUGUGAACCAACUCUACAUAGGAAGCAAAAUUAUCAAAAAUCUCGUGAAAUAAGAUGUGUUCAGAAUGGUGAAAUACUGCUAUGGUUCAAAAAUCAAAUAAAUCGGGUAACGUCUCGGUGCCGAUAGUAGCGGUCAACCCUAUUUACUGUUAUUAUUCCCUAUGGGGAGCCCUAUCGUCGGAAGGUAAAUGUCUCAAAAUUUUUAUAUAGGCAGUUGCGUCUCAUCUACGUGAAAGUUUUUCGUGUGGAAGGUUUGAUCAAACUACGUAAUAUAGAGGGAGAUAUGAGCGUUUUCGUGAAUUUAUAGACUUUAGCCGACGAGAUAUUAAAAAAGUCGUCGGCUAAAGUCAAAAUUUUUUUAGCGGUAAACCAAAUUUGAAGGAAAAUUUUCAAAAGACUUUAGCCGACGAAAAUAUUCAAAAUCUCGUCGGCUAUUGUCAAAAAUUUUCAAAAGAGUUUAGCCGACGAAAAUAAAGAAUUUCGUCGGGUAAAGUUUUUUAUAUAGGAGUUUUACCGGAGGUGGAUGGUAAGAAGUCAGAAAAUUAGAAAAAGUUCCGGAUUUUCUUCUCGGCCUAGCUCCGCCGUCAAGCAACCGAAGACCGCCACACUUGUUCCAAAAGCUUCGCCGUCGUCUCUACUUCAUUGCUGGACAGGUGGUGCAUUGAGUGACGCCGCCGUGAGGGAUAAAUCGAGCUCCAAAACUCCUCUGGUUCGGAUUCGGUGUCGAUCAAAUUUCUCCUUCCUCAUGUCACCAUUUGGUGAGUUCUGUAUAUGGAUAAGUUUAGUUUGAUUAGUACUACAUUCCUCUAGAAUUUGGUAGCUCGAUUCGGUGUCUGUGAGGAGAAUCGAAGAUUUAAACUUUUUAGGGUUUAAAAUUAGGGAUUUUUAUAUUUUGAUUCAAUUGACCUGUUUAGUCUUAGAUUUGGGCUUCGACUUCUUCUAGAAAGUUGUUCGAAAUGUUGAGAGGAAGAUUCUGUCAAAUUUUUGUGGUGAUUGGAGGUGGCCGAAAGUUUCUGCAGUUUUUUUUUUCAAAAAACAGCAACUUUUGCCGACGAUAUUUAAAUACUAUAUUCGUUGGCUAUAGUAUUUUUUAAUUUUUUUUAUAAGGUUUAGCCGACGAAAUAUGACAUGUUUCGUCGGCUAUAGUUAUUUUUUUAAUUUUUAUUACACACUUUAGCCGACGAAUAUCUUAUUGUUUCGUCGGCUAAAGUCUGGGAAAAAAACCGACGACAUGUUUUUCGUCGGCUAAAUUGUGGGACUAUAGCCGACGACGUCUUCUUUUUUCGUCGGCUAAAGUCAUCGCCGACGACCUUUUCCCGACAAAAUCUUAGUCGACGAAUUAAGCUAACAGGCCGAAGAAACUUUGUCGUCGGCUAAAGUACUUGUCUUGGUAGUGUAUUCAUUUGUGUGGUUGUUGAAAGAAUUUUUGAAUGCUAUGCCAGGUGGUGCUCCUAAAAUGAUUAUUACAGAUCAAGAUCCAACCAUGAAGAAAGCUAUUUCAGAAGUCCUCCUAGACACAUUUCAUAGAUAUUGUAGCUGGCAUAUCUUGAGAAAGUUUUCUAAGAAGCUUGAUGAUGCAAUCAAAUACAGAGAUCACUAUGAUGACUUUAGAAAGUGUAUAUACUCAUCUAAGAAUGAAGAGGAGUUUGAAUUCAAGUGGAGAUCCGUUCUUGCAGAGAGUGGAUUAAGUGGGCAUAAUUGGCUGCAAUUAAUUUAUGAAAUUCGGUUUAGAUGGGUACCAGCCUAUAUGAACCAUGUUUUCUCAGCUGGUAUGUCAAGCAGUUAACGAGCAGAAAGUGCACACUCAUUCUUUAAGGAUAAAAAUUCUUUAAUGGUCUUCAUGGUUCAGUUCAAUAGGGGUAUGGUACAUAAACGACAUGAGGAGUUGAUUGUGGAUCAUAUUGACAUCAAUGAGAAGCCUAGAUUUAAGUGUCCCAUUAAGAUGGAAAAACAAAUGGUUGAUAUUUAUACACAGAAGUACUAUUAUAAAUUUCAAGAUCAGCUAUGGGAAAUCUACAACUACAAUCUAGAGGUCAAAUCAGAGGAUGAAAAUAAGUGCAUCCUUAAGGUUACAUGUAAGGAUCAUGAAGAUGGAAGAGCCCGGGUCAUCAUGUAUGAUAAAUCAAAAGAUUUUGCUUCGUGUAGUUGCAAAUUGUUUGAGAGUGCAGGAGUUCCAUGUAGUUAUGUUUUGGCAAACAUAUAUAAUUACAAACAUGUAUAUAUGUUGCAAACAUGUAUUACAUGUUUGCAAUCAUCUAUAAUUGCAUAUUCCAUCAUCUUUUUAACCUGCAAUUAUCUCCAUGAGACAUUAUGCAUGGAUAUAUUCAAGCUCGACGUACGUAUCCAACCCCAUAUAUAUGCUUAUUUCUUGGCCAAUAGAAACACAUUAAUUCCUUUUCUGUAAAAAAAUCGGGCAUUGCAUAAUAUAUCUUAAUAUAUACUUCGAAACUGAUCUGGAAACAUCUGAAGACUAAAAGCGAAUUUAACUUGUAACUGAAGAAACUAAACUGAUAAAGCGAUAGCCAGCAUCAAUUAAAGAUUUCGGAUAAUACAUUUCGUUUUCUUAUAUUUGCAUGGUACGAUCAAAUCAUCCAAUUUUGUCUUCAGACGACGGGCAAUGCUCGUCGUCUGAUUACUUUUUUGCGUGUCGUCUAUCGAGUUACCAUCUAAUAACGAUUCAGUCGACAGGCAUAAUCUGUCGUCUGAGGAUGGUUAUACGACAUACUGUAUGUCGUCUUUAUGAAUCCAGGUUCGUAACACAAAAAAUGAAUCUGUCGUUAGAAAUCGUUACAACAACAGAGAACUGUCGUUGAAAGAAGAAUUAAUCAGCAAAUAAUUGCAUUCGUCUGUCGUCUCCAGUUUAUUCUAACGUCACUUAUAUGACGUUGAAAUGGCUUUUUUAUCUACCCUAUUAAUUUAUCCGUCGUUUGUAUUCUAGUACUACUCUGCUUUUCUGUCGUUAUGAUAGUUUAAAACCUCAAAAUUCUGCACAUGUCUCUCGUUUGAGAUCAGAUCAUAAGUCACAUUUUUGUCGUAUAAAUAUUUGGUUUGUGGGGUUUGACGAUUCAGACGACAGAUAGCUCUUUUUUGUAUACGUUAAUGACGGAUGUGUUUACUCGUCUAUCGUCCGUAUCAAUAUCAGAAGACAAUUAUAUGUCGAUUAAUUGUGUAACAAGUUAUUUUGUCUAUCGUUUGAAUUGUUAUGAACGACAAUAUUAUGUCGUCUGAUGUUGUGAACCAUGACACAUUAUGAUCGACUCUUCUUCUGUAUGACGACAACAAAUUUGAUUUGGUUUCAGCUGUCAUCUGUGAUGCUGAUAUUACAUAUAGACCUUUCUUUCAAAUUGUAUUUAUAUAAACCUAUUCAUGAGCACAAAAAACCAUACAAGAAAACCUAGAAACCAACAAAUUAAAGCCACAUAUAUAAUAUCAACAUGGUAACCAAUUCAACAUCAUCCUUCAAAUCAUAGCAGAACCACAACUAGUUCCAUAUUGUUCACAACAAAAACCACAGUGAUCACAGCUAGUUUCAUAUUGUUCACAACAAGCUAGCUAAAACAGGUACCAGAAACCUAGCUACAAAGUAACUAACAUGCUAGCCAGCUAGAGUGCUAAAAUGAUCGAUCAUAUAUAAAAACCAAAAGUCGAUCAUAUAUUGUUAGUUGAAAACCGCCUACCUAACUAGUAGCCCUAUAUAUGCAUGCAUAUACAAUGGGUUCAACUUGCACAAAAAAUUAACGAGUCUGCUCCUAGCAAUGUUAGUUCCAUACCCUAAACCUUAAACAUUAGAACUUGUUUUGCCCAUUCAGCCCGAACUUCAUCAAUUUGCUCCGGUGUGUAACGCAAACCCUGCUUAGUUUUCCACUACAAAUAUAAAGCAACCACUAAGCUUAUGAUACGAAAAACUUCAAGUCAAACAUGUAAAUGAAGUCUAAUAUAAAUACUUUAGCAUCAAAAGCACAUAUAGUAGUAGCAAACUCCAAAUCCUUGUCUGCAAUAAUAUCCUUUAUGUAACGCAUGACCAAAUAUGCACAAGUCUUUCCAUCUUUUUGCUCUGAAAUGCCCUGCAAAAGAUAAUCAUCACAAAUUAGAAUCAGUUAGUGUGCAAAGCUUGAUUGAGAAUCAUAUGGAACAUGUUCCAACACUUACAAGAAGGGGGAUCCAUUCAACUGAUACUCUUGAAGAUUUCUUCAUCUUUUGUGCAUAGUAAAACUUGAUGCCACUUCAAGAUUGCCAACAGAACAUAAAACAUAUGUAAACUGAUUAAACGCGUGGAAAUGGUACAAGGUCGUUAACGGUGACUAUUAUAAAAGGGUCACAAGGAACAAGUAGUUUUAAUGGGUCAUGUGAACUUGUGAACAUCUAUUGAGAAUUGUAUUGUAUUCUUCUGUAGAAGAUUAAGAAUAAGAAAGAAAAAAUACACAUUUGUACACCAUGUUAGGUAUGGAAAUAGGAUUAUAAUUUGGCAUGUUAUGUCAUGUAUACAAGUAUUAUCUACAACGGGUUUUAAAUUUCUAGGCAGCUUUGCAACAUAAUGAACUUACAUAAUGACAUAUGACAUGAUUCAAAUGUACAUAGGUUAUACAAAAUCUUAUUACAUGAUAAUAAAUGAUUAACUUGUUGAAGGAGAAAAGAUAACGAGAAUAAUGGUCUACUCAUUCAUUGAUAGAAAUGCUUAUUUAUAGGCAUUACAUAGAGUCUCCCGAAGGAUCUAGAAGUUUUAUCAACUGAAAUCUAUUCUAAUAAGGAAACCGGAUUAGCCAAUCUUACGUGUAUUAGGGAAAGACACAUAACUGAAGGACGGAAACAUAAUUUCCUUAAACACUCCCCUUUGUGUUGCAUCCCUAAUACGUCACGGUGCUUAUGGUGUUGCCUCGGUAAAAACCUUGCCAAUAAACCAAAAACCUCAUGGGUAAAACAAAAGACUUGGUCGAAGGGAAAAAGAGCACAACGCACCAACUACAAUUGAAGAUAACAUGUGAUGCAUGCAGACUCCCCCUGAUGUCUACAUAAUGACUCCCCUUGAUUGGUAACUCAAUCUCGGAGUACAGAUAAACGGCGCAAGCCAAUGCACUUCACAUACUUCAAAAGUAGAGUUGGGCAACAAUUUAGUCAUUAAAUCCAGCCACAAUAUGCUUAGAUCAGACUUGCUAUGCUUAGCAUUACUUUGAUCUUCAAGGAGAAGGUUGCCUAACAACUCAAAACAUAAGUUCGCAUUGAAAAUCAGAUUUGCGCAUGACAUGACCUUUGUUUACUUAAACAGUCAUAACUUCUUCGAUACAAUAGGUAUCGACGAACCGUAUAAAGUUCUGGAAACAAGAUACACAUAGCUUUCCAACCAUACAAGGUCCAUAACCUAGUUCAUCUUGAGCUGAUCACAAAGCUCUGUCGAAGUUGACUGUUCUGCAAAAGCAGAUUCUCGGACAGAUCCGUCCUACUUUACGAAAAUAGCCAUAACUCACUCAAUAUGACAGAUGUGAUCAAAUGGUUGGUGUCCCUGGAAAGUAGACACAUAGACCUUUCCAAUGAUACCAAUUUCACCAUUUUCCAACGAGUGGGCUAUCCUGUAGGUCUCGUGGAAGUUGACCUAUGAAACUGGGCAGAUUCUGAUUUCGUAUUUGAUGUGUCUUUUUGUAGGGAUGAAUAAGCCUGAACCUUUCAUAGAAGGAAUCACUGCCAUUGCAUUGGCGUUGCGUGGGCGCAUCCGGCCACUACCUUGAUAUUCCUUCACACUCAUCUAAGAGGGAGCGAAUAUGCUCGACCGCUAGGAAGAGAGUCGAAAGACUAAGGAGAACUUGGCCUUACAAGUUUAUAAUGAAUGAGAUGUCGAGUCGAGCAUAUUGUAACAAGUACAUGAAUGUGCUACCGUACUUAGAUGGAGAAUUUCUCCUAAGACAUCUUCGUCAUACAGACAAAACGAGUCUUCUCAAGACUUUGACCGAUCAAGGGAUACAUAUAGGCAUAACUUCAUCGUCCUUUAGAUUGCCUUAAGCCGACAGAUGAAUAAGCAUCAUCAAUAACGGUUCUGACUUUCGAGACCAAGUAUUCCCAAGAUCCUUUCAUUCUUAAUUUUGGAUCAGUGGCAUCUCUUAGUUUAACAAGAGUUCAUCACGAUUCAUCCAGAAUUUACACACAAAUAGGCAUAAUUCUUUAUAUCCCUUCCCUAAUCAAGUUGAUACUUAACAAAUACCAUUCAAACAUGCUUCGUGGUCAGGAGCCACUUGAUUUGGGUGAAAACCAAUCUAUUCAAGAUCUUUAUGUACAUCUCUUAGUUCCCAACAGAGAUAAGUUGUGACCACAAGCUGCAUGUUCAGUUUUUUCGGAAACUACCAAACUGACAAGGUAGUGGAGUGCAAUGACAUCCAUUACGAGAGUAUAUCUCAUCGUAGUCGAUUCCAGGACGUUUGUGAGAGACCUUGCGCCAGAAGGUGAGUCUAAACUCUUUUUCUCACUACGCUUUCUAACAAAGACAUAACUGAUAGAGUUUCCACUUGGGGUGUCGGCGUCACCUAACCAAAGCACUCUCUCUUUGUUUAAACUGGAUCGCAUCUUUCCAUUUAGGCCAAUCUACAACGUUGGUAUUUUCUCAACGAAGUAUGGUUCGAUAUCAAACUCAUUAAACCACGUCAUCAUGUACACCGGUGUAAUUUCUAAGUGUAGAGAUCUCUAUAUGGAUUGGUAUUGACAUUGAGGCGUCCCCCAAUGAUGACCAUAAUCCAGAAAUAACUGACGAAUGACUAUCAUUGAUCAAAUGAUCAAGUUGUGCCAAAUUCGCAUUCUUCCUUGGCGAGUAUGUAUCAAACCAAGUGGCCUCCCCCUAAACCAUGGGAGCCACGGCCUAGCGACACCAUCUACCACAUUUGUGGUGUCACCAUGCGACCAUCUAUGGGUGACGACAUGUCCUCUUAUCCAGACAUCAACAUGUCUUUAUCUAAACAUCAAUCUUUGCAGGCAUGUUUGCAGCAUGCAUAUGUGAUCUCGUCACUUUAGGGAACUUGAUGAGACACAGUAGGAACAAACCAUGACAAUUCCAAGUCGUUCUACUUGAACAUUCUUGUUCUUAUCUCCCCCUAACGACGGGAAAACUGGCUUAUCAAAGUGACAUAAAAGAGAUCGCCUGUCAAAGUUCUUAAAUAAGCGGACUAUAGUCAGAAGCUCAUGUCUUAUUCAAAGAUAAUAUUCAUCAAAUAACCCAUCAUUAUGCGCUUGUGGAGGCGCAAUUUGGCACAUACAACAUGUGGACUAUAUAAAUUGCAAAACGUUAACUCAAUCUGUUAACAAAUAUGCAUACCGUUACAACCGUAACAUAAAGAUUUGAAUGACGGUGGGCAAAGAUGAAUAAGUAAAACUAUGACCCUGCUACAACCCGUAGUCGUUGGUCUUACAAGUCCAAAAAACCGCUGGCCUCACCGUCGGGACCGGUCAAAAAGAAAACCGGUUGAACUGACCGCCGGCAUCACUGGACCUUCGUUAUACACUUCCUUUAACGAUUCACUAUUUUCCAGAGCUCCAAACGCUACCAAAUUUUGUAUGCAGGUAGACAUGGGCGUUAGGAUUGCAAAACCGCCAGAAUCAAUGACGGAACCGGACGGAAAAGUGCCGAACCGGCCGUCGAAGUCGCUGGACAUCCGUGAACACUUAUAUUGAGCGGUUCACCACCUUCCAGGUCUCCAAAUACCACCAAAUUUUGAGAAUAGGUAGGCUUGGAUGUUAGGAAUCAGUGACCAUAAACAGAACCUCAAGAACCGGUUUAAAAGUUGAUGAACCGGUCCUCAAAAUGACUGGUCCGCAAGCUGAAAAACGGGAAAUUCUAGGUUUUGUCAACUUUUCAAUCAUUUUUAAGGUUCCCCAUAACAUCCAAUUGUUAUGGCUUGAGUUGAACCAUUGUGAACAUCACCAUAUAUAGCAUUAUUAUGCCUCAAAGUGAACAAUGAGAAGCCAUCUAGGACAACAUCUUAUGUAUCAAUCUUGUAGAAUCACUCGUAAACAUUGUAAUUAAUGUCUAUAGUGAACAACGACUUAGCAUCUUGUUUAUAUGCUAGUCACUACAUUUCAUUGUCUUUAGUGUAGGAGGGUGUCACUCCUAAUUUUUGCUAAAGAAUAGGCUUUACAAAACAAAGUAACGAGCAUGGCCAAUGUGAGAUCAUAGGAGGUUUUUUUGCAUCAUAUUUGCUUAUGAAAGCAUGAGUAAUGCCUCCAUUGUAUAGGAGAAUGACGCGAAUGGCUUUAAUGCCAUCCAUAGGCCGUGAGUAUUGCUCAUAGCUACUUUGGUGAUCUUUGAUCUCAAUGGUUACUUUGCUCAAAAGAAAGGAUGUCCGUGAGAAUCUUUACUCUUUAGUAUACGGAUCAUCAAAACACGUCCAAAAUUGUCCCGGACGAUUUAUGUUAAAGCUUACAUGAGUCGAUGUCUCCAUUCUCAUCAUUGGUGACAAUAACCGAUUCAAUUAACCGAAUCUUAGUGACUCAUAAAUGUUGCGCAUUCAUUAUAGUGAUACAUAAGAAAUUCUCAUCAAUUCUCACAAUGUGUUUAUAGGUGAUAAACGUUGGCGUGAAUAUACCAUUAAGUCAUAGCACGGUUCGAUUGUUUUCUUAUGCAUAAAUAGCAUAUGUGACUUGAAUCAUAACGCCAUUAGGCAUUGAAACUUGAGCAUUAAUCUGCUCUGAUUAUUUGUGAUGAUCUAGUCAUCAUAGUCACAACGGAUUUAUAAAACACCAAAUCCAUAAAUAAUUAUCUAUUCCUUGCAAUAAGCUAAGCACUCAAUCUCGCUACAACACAUUCAUACACCAGAAUGUAGAAACAACAGUCUUAUGUUAAGACAUAGAAACCGAAAUAUAUUAACAAUAUUAAAAAAAGGUAUUAGAAUCCUUUAGAGUGGGUUACAUGACGUAGAAUACUUCGAAGAUGGACAAAACAAGGCUUAAAAACAUGCCAAAACUUGGCAAAAUUGGUCGUGAGCACCCACGGCCCACUGUUGGAUCUUGUAGAGAAAGAAGAGGAUUUUUCAACAUCCAAUUUUGGAUGACAUUUAGCGUAACGCAAUUUUCUUUUUGCAAUUAUGAAUCCGCUCAAGAGUGUAGAAGACUACUCUUGUUUGUAAUGUCUUUGCAAUUGUAUAGGUGUGCAUUGUGCCACACUUGACAAAUCCUCUUUUGAUCCAAAACCGAUGUGCAUUUCGCUACAUCAUGAUAUUUAGCCUUUAGAAACGCCACCUUAUAAUAACUAGUGGUCCAAUGUAAUCCAAUGUAGUCCAAUGUAGUGUCAUAUUGUAAUGCGAUAUAUUGCAUUACAUAUAGCUACAUAUAGCUUAUGUAGAUCGAACCAUAUGUGCAAGACAAAAUUCGAAUAUAUAUGCCAACCUUGCAUCGAGGUCUUGAUCAUGAAUUUAAUUCAAAAUAUAAGGACUAAGUAACUCUAGUCAAAUAUGUGAGGUGUAUGCCUUCACAAAACUUGAAAAAAUAAACGGAUUUUAUAGUCACUUAGACUAUUAAACCGAAGUCAUGUGCUUCAUAUCUUCCGCAAUGUACAUUUUGCUUUAAAAAUCCAUAACUGUGAGAAUAAUGUUCUCAUCUUCUUCCAUAUAGUGAGCUUCUUGUUUCAAGAACUCCAUAUAUUUCUUGUAUACAUUGACCAUAUUAUUGUUUUGUUUGCAAUUAGUGAACCGAUGUAUAACCACAUCAAUAACAUGAUUUUUCUUUUACUAGCCCAAUCUUUAUAUGACAUGUGGGGUUCGAGACAUUGCCUCCCCCUCUUUUUUUAGAACGUGUGACAUGAAAUUCGUCACUUUUUUUUUUAUUAUGUCAAAUUUAGGGCUUAUGUUUCGGUCAAUUAUUUCAAACAAGAAAAUGGAAGAUUAACUAUUAUCGAUAUACGGUAAUUAAUUCCAAGUAAUUGGGUCAAGACCAUGAUUUAUGGUAACUCAAUUCGAUGUGAACCGUGACAAAUUCCGUCACAAAUCGAUAUUAACCGUGACAAUUUUCGUCACUAACCGAUGUUAACCACAACUAUUUAUGUCGCAAAUCGAUGUUUGUCCCCUUUUUAACCACGACAAUAUUGCGUCGUAAUACCGUGACUUGUCAAACCGUCACAAAUUUCAACUUUGAUAUGAGGGGUCCCAAUCCCUCAAUAUCGUCCCACGUUAUAAAGAAAUGUGGGAUGUAGAAGAAGGCUACGAAGCCCGACUAUGAAAUUAAAAUUCAAAAACGGUAACUUUUAUAAAAGCUUACUUGCUAGUUUGUCAAAUAAACUGCGUUUAACAGAAGUUGCCCUUGCCAUUUUCAUGUGUACUUCUACGUGCGUGCAGAAGUUACUCUUGUAAUUCCAUCGCGAUCCGUCGCGCAAAAAAUUUCAUGAAAACCGGAGGGACAAAUUUACCGUUUUGCCCCUAGUAUAUUCAGUUAUGAGAGACAGAGCGGGUCAGAUCUUCGAAUCCGAGUUGGUGGCGAGCGCAGGUCGACAGGCCGGAGAGCUAGGAUGGCGGCGCCGGAUUGGGAUCGAAAGCACGGCAUCGAAGUUGCACUGUCUGCUGUUGUGUGUGUGAUACUGUGAUGCUCGGGGGUUCGUCUUCGGGAGUUGUCAGGCAGUGCUGGAAAAGGCAGCGCUCGUCAGAUCUGGGCUGGGCUAGUCGUACGGGCGAGCUGCGGAGGAGCAUAUGCGGCGCCGGACUAGGGCAGAUGCUAGCGAGGCUAGCUAUGGCCGGAUCAGAGGCAAGUCGGAGCAGCUCGGUUGUGGCUAGGUUAUCGAUGGCUAUUGAGAAGCUUUCGGAGCUUGGGCUCGAUGGUUUACGCCGGAAGAGAAGGGAGAUUUGUAGGUGCACCAGUCCAGUGUUCGGAGAUUGGGUCGAGGCCGGAGGCGGUGCGCAAGGCUUCUGGCCUUCGACCGAGAUGAUGUGGUUGCCGGGUGGAGGUCGCCGACGUCACUCAGGGAAGGUGGGUGCCCAGAGCAAAUUUAUGGGUGCCCAGGUUAAGAUCGAUUGGGUACGGUAGCGAAAAAUUUUAGCGCUUUUUUUUUUUUAGGUUUCUAGGGUUUUCGUUAUCAAGCUCGAGUUAGAGCACAGUGCUGAUAACGUGUUGAAGGAGAAAAGAUAACGAGAAUAAAGGUCUACUCAUUCAUUGAUAUAAAUGCCUAUUUAUAGGCAUUACAUAGAGUCUCCCGAAGAAUCUAGACAUUCUAGCAACUGAAAUCUAUUCUAAUAAGGAAACCGGAUUAGUCAAUCCUACGUGUAUUAGGGCAAGACACAUAACAGAAGGACGGAAACAUAAUUUCCUUAAACAUAACUAACAUUAUCAUAGGAUAUUGCAUUAGAAUAUCAAAGAGGGACGUCAUUUCUUGCCCGAUCGGAAACAAAGUCCAACCAUUUAUUUUUAUUAUCAAAAGAUUACACCAUGCAGCAAAAUGGAAAAAAUGUAUAGUUGAAUACCAUUACUUCUAAACUUUUAUCGGCUCCCCUCAUCCCUUUACAUCUCUCAUUUUGCAGUUUUGAUAUUGUUUUCACUUUCUCAUUAGCCUUACCAACCACUUCAAUACAAAGUUAAAAACAGCAGAAAGCAUAGCGAGGGUGAAUAUCUGUUUUGGAGAAAAGAGUUUACAAGAGAGGAGAAUUGGCUGAAAAAAUACUUGAAAGGUGGUAGUGGUUUCUCUGAUCAGGUUUAACAGCAUAAGGUGAAAACGUAGUGAAUUGGCCAGAAAUAUCUCAUACAUAUAACGCAGAGCUGACAGCUUAGGCACAUAUAUAUUCAUUCUGUAGUAUCUCAUUCAUAACCAAAAGCUAACAACUCGGACACUCAUCAUUUUAGACUAAAGAACUCAUGGAUUUCAUGUAUAUAUAUUGUCCACAACAUCAUUUCACAAAAAAUUAAAAGGGAUUUUUAUAGUCCACAAAACUUACUUGUCAACAACAUCUUGCCAUUCACUAGUAGUUGAUAGUCGCCUCUUUAACGGAUCCAACCAGUAAACCUUCUUUCGGUGCGGAUCCACUACCGAUAAGGUCCAAUGAUUACUGUAUAUAUGCCACAAACAAAACAGAAUGUAUCAGUCUCAUAAAGCAGUUUAUACAUGUAUAUAUUUUUCCAUUACAUAUCUAAUGCAUACUGUAACGCCCCAAUUUGCACCUCUCCAAAUUGGAUACGUUACAGUGCCGCGAACCUUUAGACUCAUGACCUAAAGAGACGCAAGGCAAUUUUUUUUUUUUGUACUAAAAACCGAAACUUUAGAAAUAGCAAGAGUGGCGGAAAGCGUAGCGUCUAAAAUGAGGUGAAAACAUUGAACACUUCAUCCUUGUUUAUUAAAUGACGUUAUAACUAUAGCAACUCCAAAAGUGUGUUCCAAACAAAACAAUUAAAGAGAGACCAAACAGAACCAGCAAGAUACCACAUUUAUAAGUUAACACAAUUAAACAAUAAAAAAUCUGUAAAAGUAAACACAAAUCGAGCCAAAUAUAUCAAGGCAAAUAAUUAUGAACGUAGCACCCAGCUCGGUCCCGAAGUCCUCCUCUCAUGCACAGUACUUGCAAGACCAAUUAUAGUAGGGGUGAGCUUUCGUCCUUGCUGCUCAAGCAUCAACCCUAACUAGGUUUGAAAUCCAAAUAGUAAUAAUAAUAGGCGCCAGUUGAGUAAAAAGUAAAUAAAUCGAAAUAAUAUUUUUCAAUGUAAAACCAACUGAAAAUUCCAGAGUACCCGGGUAAAAAUCCAAACCUGAUGACCGGUCUAUAUUUAGCCAACUACCUCUUCACCGAAGAUCUUUGUCCUCAACAACUGGUGAAGAGUAGCGAGAGUGUCCAUUUACGCCAUACCGCAUAGGAGCAAUGCCACACCUCAAAGGAUGUUAGACAUUCUCCAGUCCGUACAGCCCCUCCGGAGGUUUAGGGGAUCGAAACCCAAGGAAGUCGCUAUGCCACGCUCACUCUCAAAUCAUCUCAUAAACUUAAGCAUUAAAUCAUAAAUCCAUUUUUCAAAUCAUAAAGCAGUGUAUAAAACACUAACCAGGGUGAAGCCUCCGUACCUCAAUUAUUUAGCAACGGCUUGAUAGCAACGUACAUAAUACUCCAAUACUACUCCUUCAUCGAUAGCAGCCUCGUCCUUCAUUGUUAGUAGCCCACAACUUGCCUAAAUCCUAAUAUAACAUACAUCACAGAUUGUCACUUCAAGUACCAUUUUCUGUGUAAAGGUUUCCAAUGUCUUGUCUAAACACUUACGUCACUCACAAGGACUAGAAACGAGUACACAUCAAGAGCUAGGAUUAAAGUGAGGUUUCAGAUGACUAUCACACAGCUCUUACAAUUGAGGACUCACAAGACAAGAUUGGAACCAAGUGAACAAGAACAAAUAUGAGAAUAUUGAGGGCUCACAAGACAAGAUUGGAACCAAGUGAACAAGAACAAAUAUGAGAAUGAAGGAGCUGCUCAGAUUUGCAAAAUCAUUAAGAACUCAGUUCUUGACCAAUAAGUAUGAAACUUAGCAGAUUAAAAGGUAACAUGUUAAGGUACAACAUACUAAAAUUUCAAGCAAAUCGGAGUUCAGGAAAUAUGGGAAAAGAUGGAUGACAACAGACCGAAUUGCUCAGUUUUCUUAAAAUUUCCAGCAGCAUUCUAUCAACUCAUAAAAUCUGUCAAAAUGUCACUAUGACUCCGGUAGACACCAAACAAGUUGGAGAGGAAUGCUUGACAAAUCAAAUUCUAUGAAUUAAAGUCUCAGCAUAAACUCAUUCAAGAGCCAUAUGGGUUUGAUAAGUACAAGUCUAGAAGGUAAGGUUUUGAUAUGAAUGAACACUAAGGAUGAAUAAACCUUAACAAGGGUUUGAUAUCAGAUUACUUGAAGGGACCAAGUUUAGCAGAUGCAAAAGGGUAUGUUUAUGAUCACAAAACUUAAGAUUCUAUAUGAAGAUUGAACUAGAAAGGAUGAGAUUCAAUAGAUUGAGCCAAAACUUACCAAUUGCCGAAUCAAUAGUAUAAACUCAAGGAGAUGAAAACUUCAUGAUAUCAACUCAACACCGAUGAGGAAACAUGACCCAUAUCAAGGAGAAACUGAAUUUGUAGGAGAAAGGAACAUAAACUCGAAUUAUAAUCGGAACCGGAACUAUAUAUCAAAACAGGAUUCUUCCCUGAACAGCAGAUGGCUUUACCUUAAUUGAGGACAAUCUAACCGCUGGAUCAUCGUCAAAUUUUAGCACAGCAUAGUAGACCCGAUUUCCAGAAACUUUCAUGAGGAAGUCGUGGUCAUCUGAAGAGCAGAAGCGGCAGUUUUCAGCCGUCGAAAUUGGCUGACAGGAACAAGUUCACAAGGGAUUCUCAUCUUGCAACUUUCUCUCAGUUCAGAACUGAUUAACCAGACAAAUUUGGCUAUGUUGUGUGUCACUUUGGCUACUGAAAGAUUGCUUCACCAAAGAGGAAAAAUUUGAUUAGUGUAGAGAACAAAGGAGAGAAGGUCCAAAGGACAGAGGCGGUUUCUCACGGGUGAAGGACGCGUGUCUCUAACUUAUAUCACCCUUCUUCCCUUUUCAUUCAGUUUGACCAGUCUAAUGGUCUAGCAACAUGUGUACUAAACAAGCUUAAUCCUUAAAAGAAAGAGACUAAAAUAAAUUGAUAGCAAGGAAACCUCUCUGACUGAUGAAGGCUUCUAACUUUAUUUUCAUCAGAAGUCACUUGCUUUAGUACAAUAAGAUUCCCAAAUCGUUUUCUCCAAAUCUUCCAAGUACCAACGUACUUUAAUUCUACGGGGUCUCACACAUACCUUGAGUUAUGAGGCACCAAAUAAAUCUGAUCGCUGGUCCCAUCUUUAAAACGAUUCAUUAAAUUCUUAGAGCGUUCAGUUGGAGUUCCACAUCCAAGUGCACCAGUGUGAUUGGGGUCGACGAAGCCAACCAUGUCAGUCAUCUGGGACUUCUUCAAAACCUCAUUGAGGUAGCUACAUAGACAUAUAUAUUGACAACAUGAAAGCAGACUUAGAAAUAGCAAAUAAGAAACAUGUUAAAAAAUUUAACAGCUAUGUCCUAAUGUGUUACAUUAAUUAUCUAAUGUAAAAUAUGAUGCAGCUGGAUGUUAAUUCUGUCAUGUGUGCCAUGGCAUGAACGUCCUUUCUAAAGAUAACUGUCUUUGUUGGAUGACCAAAUAUUUCAGCAGGAAAAGUUGUGAAGAUGGUGGCUCUAUUACGUAAUUCAGUAUUUGCCCAAGUGCACAAGUAUAGUAAUUGCCGCGGGAGAUUCGGUGGUAGGUGUUCCAAAUCUUCGUCAUCAUGAUCCUUUAGCGAUGCUUGUUGUCUCGUCCGUCUCCUCGUAGUAACUAUAGUCUUUGGUUUUGCUUUGUCCUGCAUAUUUGUCUUAGAAAACUUUAUGAAGCAAGAAGUAUGAUUAAACCAUAUUUCUAAAAUUAUCAUAAACAACUAGAAGCAGUUAAGGACUACCUCCACGUCAACUGUAGCCUCAAUAACGAGAUUCCUUGGCCAAGCAACAAUAGACCCAAGGGCAUCCUUCACAGUCAUUAUCUCAUCUUUUAUAAGAUACGGCAGCAAAUGAUGACCAAUGAUUGGAACAAUAAUAGAGACUCAAACAUUUUCAGCUCCAAAAGGAAUGUCAUGGAUUGUUUGCUUAUUUGAUCAAGGUCUCCAUCAACAAUACGUCCAGAAGCUACAAUGUUUUCCACCAUGUCAACGGCCAAUUUGCAAUCAAGCUGACCUUUUUGAACCUACACCAUUAACAAAUUAAUGGUAUACAGUUAUAUAUCCUAAAAACUAUAUCAAUCUCUAAAAAUGAAAUAGUCAAGUUUAAUAUUUACCCCUUCAGCAUUGGUUGAUUCCUUUGGUGCAGUGACAUCUUCCAAUAUCGACCCAUCCCUUCCAUCAGUGGGCUACUAAUUUUCUAAAACAGCCUCUUUACCAUCAACAGGCUGCAGCUCUUCCUCAGCAACAUCUUUACCAUUAGUGCAGCCGCCUAAAACCAACCUCUUCUUCACAGCUUGACAACCAGAAUGGUUACCCCGCUCCCAAGGCCUAGAACAACUCCCUUAUCCUAAACCAACGUCAUUAUUAACUGCUGUAACAGUUUGUGGGAUUCAGAAGCCAAUAACUUUCCUUCAAGCUUUGCUUCUAGCAUCGCAAACUUCUUCUCCCACUUAGCUUCAGCCUCAACAAAUACCUCAGCCUGUUUUUUCUUCAUUUCCUUCUCCCACUUUGCUUUUUCUUUAGCAAAUAGACUCUCUCUCUCCUCCUCCGACACUUUCUUCCUCCCCCUUUGUUGCCUUGGCAAGUCGAAAUAAGUCUCAGGCUUCACAUUUCCACCAACCCCUCUAACCCUACCUCUAUGCUCCGGAUUACCCAAUGCUUCAGUUAACACAUCCUUGGUCCCUUGCGACUUGAAUUUCCCUUCAGCCUCCAUCUUCUGUAGGUUCACCUACACCAACCAGUCGAAAUUUAAAUUAAACUGCUGAUAACAAUGAAAUCAAUGUACUUGUCAUGGUGUAAAUUCUAAUUAACUUGUUGUCUUAUAAAUACUCACAAUUCGUUCAACUGCUUCCUCCACUGCAACAUCUAAGAAUUUCCCAUCUUUGUCUUGCCUUGCCUUGAUCCAGUAGAUGUAUCUACCGAGUUCCUCAAGUUCUUCUGGGGACAAAGUUGUAGCACAGAUAAACACAUAGUAAGUGAAAAGCAAGAAGCAUUUAAAACUGAACUCUUUUCAAUAAAUUUAGUGAGUUUAUCAAAUAAAACUAACAAUUUCUGCCCUCAUUCCACGAUAUCCUUUGCGUGACAAACGAUGAUUGUAUUUGUUUUUCUUUCGCUUUUCAACUUGUUCAUUGUGUAGUUCCUGCAAAUUAAGCCAAGCUUAAAUUACAUAACCGCUCAAAUGAUACUUCAGUAAAAUUAGACAUGCCAAAACCAAAAUAACUAUGACCUAUCGGUGACAAGCUAAAAGCCUGUCGGCGACAAACUCUUGCCAAACAUCCUUUGUUAUGAAUCGGUAAUUGUCUGGAGGAAAUUCUAGGAGAUCCAGGUCAUUCAUGUAACGCAUGAUGUACUUUAACGUCAACCUGCUUUUGAAAUCUCUCCAUUUAGUUGUUGCAAAUGCAAUUACACUCUUCCUAAGCUUUUUAGGCACAACAAAUGCUUCCUACACAAACACGAUAUUUGUUGUAAGUAACACACUUACAAAAUUAAACUACUCAUUUGAAGUUAGCAAACAUAUAUAAAUACAACUAGUCAAUUACUUGUACAGAUUCCCAAAUCUUCUGCUUUUCAUCCUCAUCUACGUCUCUCCAAUCAGGGAUUGAGAUUAGGAUCUUUGUACGUGCCAAUACUCCAAUGAAGAACUGCAUGUUUCCUGCCUCCUUACCAAUUGGUUCACCAUUUGCAGUUAAUUGGACGACUAUCCGCUGUCCACGGAUAAUUGUGGUGGUAACCUGAGCCAUGGUUACCAUUCCACGCUUGAGCAGCUUUAACCCACCGGUUAAGUUUUUCUCCUCUUGAGCAGCAUCAUCACUUUGAGCUUGUUGAGAGUUGUUUGAUGACUUGCUCACAGACUUGGUCACAUUCAGCCUCCUUGAUGUACGCUUCUUUGGGGAGGCAGUUUUUCUUGCUCUUGAUCCACCCUUACGCUUUUUCGGGGAGGCAGCAUCUGAUCCAGCUUUACGCUUCUUCGGGGAGGGACUCGUACGCUUCUUUAAGGAGGCAGCCUUUGAUGCAGUCUUAACGGGGGACAGAUGUUGGGAUGAGGACUUAAUGGGGAAUGCAUACUUAGAUCUUGAUCUUUUCAUGGCCACAUCCUUCAUUCUUAAUGUUAUGGCUCUCGCACGUUCAGUUGCUGAAGUAGACGGUCUCAUCUUUUAUCUGAAAUAAAUAAACAAAAACUAGUUAGUUACAUUUUAACAGUCGUAAAACAUGAAUUCAUAUGUAAGAGUGCAAGCAAAGUCAAAUAAGAUAUAACGCAACCAAUAGUUAAACAUGAAAUGAAUACAUAAAUCCAGAAUCCAAUACAACUAAAAUUAAACAUGCACCAACUACAAAUAUAUGAUCAUCUCGCUAAAUACGGCCGUAAAAUAGCUAAAUGGAUCAUAUAAUCAUAAUGCCAAAAUCCAACUACAAAUGUCGACCAUAAUGUCACUUAUCAACCCAGAUUCCUUCAUCUCAUGGUCUAGCGUAUAAGCUAGGCUCAUCACCAACUACAUCGUCAAAGCUCUCAACCAGUGGCAUUAUGGGAAUAUAUGGAUGUUGCUCCACUACAAUAUUGUCAUCCUCAUCAUAAUAAUAAUCAUCAUCAGCAGCAACUUCAUCAUCACCACCACCACCUUUAAAGUCUUUAUCUGGGCACCUUACUACCACUAACCAUUCAGCAUCAAGGGGGUCUUCUAUGUAAAAAAUUUGUUUCACAUGGGUAGCCAAGACAAAUGGAUCAUUUAAAUGCCCUCAGUUUAACCAAAGUAAACUCAAGUUCGUCCACUUUGACACCCUUAGAUGACUCCACCUAAUCACACAAGAAUAGUGGUACCCUAAACUUAUAGUAGUCCACCUCCCAAAUCUGUUGGAUUCGGCCGUAAAAGUCCAUGUCCACAGUUGUAGGCCUUUUAUCCUUUGCACUACCAACUUGCAUUGCAUCGACAACCAAAAAGACGCCACUGUUUUGAACUGAUCUCUUACUGUCCCGCUCCAUAGUGUUAAAAUCAACCCCAUUCACGUGGUAACCACGGAAAGUAGGAACCUCCUUAUUUGGUCCACCAGCCAGCCACCUAAUGGUUUCAGGAACUUCAUUAUCGGCAAUUCUAAUUUCAUUUGCAACCUGAAAUAACCAUAUGCGUUAAAAUAGACACCACACAAUAGGAUACCAAAGACUUUAAUAAUUCUAAAGUCAUAUAAAUAAGCUGCUUACCCUCUUCUUGAACCAAUCAAGAAAUGUUUGGUUCUAUUUAUCUUCAUCCACUUAGGAUUAUUUAUGUUGUAUGGGAAACUUAACUCUAAAAACUCCAUAUGCUCCCUGCAUUUGAGGAAAAUAAAGCAAAUCAGUUGUUUGAAUAUAAUAUUUGGACAAGAAAAUCAUAUUAAAGUAAAAUUACUUACUUGAAAUAUGGUUGCACAUCUUCACAGUUCUACAAUUUACAUAAAUGAGCGAUAUCUAGUAGUUUCCCAUUAGCCGUGACAAUUUUAGGGGCUGAUAAGCUCUUACAGCUUAUCAGCCAUUUAACAGUCCAGGUUUGCUACUUUUAGGGAUCCCAACAGUGGUAGCAUCUUCAAGAAGCAUAUGUUCCUCCAAAAAUUCAACUGCUUCUUCAACAAUGUAACACUCUGCGAUGCAACCCUCAGGAAAUGUUCGAUUGUGCACCAUUCCUUUAAACACUUUCAUGUACCUCUCAAAGGGAUACAUCCAUCUAAAAAACACCGGACCACACAACUACACUUCUCUAACAAGAUGGACUGUUAGGUGAAUCAUUAUAUCAAAGAAUGACGGUGGAAAAAACUUCUCAAGCAAGUAAAUGGUAUCGAUCAGAUCUGCUUGCAUUUUUUUAAGUAUGGAAACAUCGAUUACUUCACUGCAAAUCGCUUUGAAGAAUAGACAGAAGUGAAUAAUCGCAUACCAAACAGGUUUUUCCAAAACUGAACGUAUUGCAACAGGGAGAAGCAAUUGCAUUAUAACAUAGCAAUCAUGUGACUUAAGAUUGCCAAGUUUUAAAUCAUUUACAGACACCAAGUUCCGUAUAUUAGAUGAAAACCGGGAAGGACCCUUCAUAUGGAAAAAUGAAUUGCAUACGAUCUUUCUCUCAUCUACAAACAAGUUCCAACUAGCCAAAGGCAACUUGUCUCUUUUUACACCAGCUGUAGGCUUCAAAUUAGUGUGUAUCCCCAUAUCAACCAUAUCCAAUCUAGCAGCAACCCCAUCCUUAGUCUUCCCCGGAAUGUUCAACAACGUGCCAAGAAUAGCAUCACAACAGUUCUUCUCAAUGUGCAUGACAUCAAGAUUUUGUCUUACUGGAAGAAACUUCCAGUAAUCAAGUUCAUAGAAAACAGAAUUUUUCUUCUAGCACGACCUAUUUUCUGGAAGACCCUUAUAAGGGGCAGGAGCGUUUCCCUUACCACUUGCUUUAGGCAUCCCUUGAACUCUUGCAAAUGUCUCCUCUCCUGUUAAUGGUGUAGAAGCGUCAUCUUUUUCUACAGUGUUAUCGAAAGCAGAAGCUUGCUUUCGGUAAGGAUGAUGUCGUGGCAGUUGUCUUCGAUUCCUCAGAAAUACCAAUUUCUUCGAGUGUUUCAACCGAUAAGGUUUGGUCUGAUCAACACAGAUUGGACACGCAUUGUAUCCUUUCACAACGCACCCUGAUAAGUUCCCAUAGGCUGGAAAAUCAUUUAUAGUCCACAACAAUACACUUUCAGCUUAAAGUACUCUACUCUUACUGAAUCGUACACUUGUUCAAUCCCAUCCCACAAAACUUCAAAUCAUCCACUAAAGGCUGCAAAUAGACAUCAAUGUCAUUUUCGGGCUACUUAGGUCCCGAAAUUAACAAAGUUAGCAUCAUGUACUUCCUCUUCAUGCAUAACCACGGAGGAAGGUUAUAUGUGAUCAGUAUCACUGGCCAACAAGAGUAUUUACUGCUUACUGCACCAUAUGGGUUAAACCUAUCUAAGGACAAUGCUAGUCUAAGGUUCUUAGGUUCUAUACCAAAAUCUGGCCAAUUUGUGUCUACCAUUUUCCAAGUUGGAGAAUCUGCCGAAUGUCUCAUCAUUCCAUCUUUCUUUCUACCCCUGGCAUGCCAGGUAAGUUCCUUAGCAGAAACUGUCGAUUGGAACAUCCUUCUAAACCUUGGGAUGAGUGGAAAGUACCACAAUGUCUUCGUCAGCACCCCUACUUUCUCAGAUCCGUCCUUCGCUAGUUUCCACCUUGAUGCAUUACAAGAUGGACAUUUUUUAGCAUCAACAUUCAGGUCUCUAUACAAGAUGCAGUCAUUUGGACAAGCAUCAAUCUUCUCGUACUUCAUCCCUAAUGCGGAAAGAGUUUUCUUAGCCAAAUUGACAGACCCUGGUACUUCAUUCCCAUCAGGAAGCAGGGUAUGGAACAAUAUUAAAAUGUAUGUAUAGCAAGAAUCGGACAAUCCGUGUUUUGCUUUCAGAUUGAAUGUUUGUACCAAACCAUUCAUCUUGGUUGACUUGGUACAACCAGGAUAUAGAGGCUUAUCUCCAUCCUCUACGAACUGCAUAAACUCAUUCGAGUCUGGAGAAAUCUCGUGAUCUUCAUCACUGAGCACACCUACAUCUUCAUUUCCUCCUAAAUCAGGAAUCUGCUCUACUGUUUCAGAACCCUCACUCAAACAAUGUCUGGCAGCAUAAGAACAUUCUCCACGCCAUUUCCAACUAGCAUAGUUUUGCAUUAUACCAUUGAAAUAGACAUGAUCCUUAAUGAACUGUAUAUUACCAAAUCGGUUGUUACAGCACUUUAAGCAAGGACAAGGUAUAUUAUUGGGGUUCCUAGCAUUAUCCAAUGCAACCUUAAGAAACUGGUUAAAUCCUAAGUCGAAUUGUAGUGAUCUCCUAUCAACCUUCAUCCAUGUUUUAUCCAUAUUCUAUAAACCAGAAAAAAAUUAUUAGCUAUAUAUAUUAAAACUAUUUGUAGGUACAUACAUAAACAACUUCAUACUAAACAAUUUACUCAAACACAUUAAGACAUAUANNNNNNNNNNNNNNNNNNNNNNNNNNNNNNNNNNNNNNNNNNNNNNNNNNNNNNNNNNNNNNNNNNNNNNNNNNNNNNNNNNNNNNNNNNNNNNNNNNNNNNNNNNNNNNNNNNNNNNNNNNNNNNNNNNNNNNNNNNNNNNNNNNNNNNNNNNNNNNNNNNNNNNNNNNNNNNNNNNNNNNNNNNNNNNNNNNNNNNNNNNNNNNNNNNNNNNNNNNNNNNNNNNNNNNNNNNNNNNNNNNNNNNNNNNNNAAAGAAGUAUGAAUACAUCGAAACUAUGAGUGCACUUACGUACAUCCAUAUAUUCGAACAAAUAAACAACAAGCACAUCCAUAGGAAAAAAGAUGGGGAAUAGACCCCCAUUGUGGAAAUGAACAGAUACAAUAUCUCAAAUUUCAUUCAGGAAUGUCACUUUAACUUCUAAUCGAGAAGAGGACUUAAAAGACCCAAUAUCUUUUGUGUAACUGUUUUGCAUGUUCUUGAAAUUACAAGUCCACAAUCAAAAAAAAAAAAAAGAAGAGAAGAAUACUAACAGAAAGAUAGGUGAGGCUCAAAUGUCCCGCCAAGAUGUAUUCCUUGUUGUACCUACACACAUAACAAUGGAUUUGCUCAAGUGCAUCCUGGAAAUGAAAACCCAAAAAAAAAAGGAAAAGGAUGGAGAUUGGUCCAGUAAGUGCAAAAUUUGUAUUUUGUAGCAGCAAAUAAAAAAAAGACAUGCAAACAAUUUGAAGUCUUAACAAGUUAACAGUUGCUGUUAAAACAAAAUCUAUUCAAUGAAACAAAACAUCUUUUACAUCUAUGUUGUCAAGAAAAAGUGGCCACAUCAAGUCACAGCAGCACUCAAAUAAUGUUUGAGGGAAAGAUCAACGAGACCUUCACCAAAUCUUCCAAGGUAACCAAUAGACAGUAAGUGACAAAGCAAGAAACAGAGAAAAAAAAAUCAAAUCAGAGCCCUAUAAACAAGCUAUGGGUUCAUUCUUAUUCUGAUCAUUCGCCAAAAGACUUCAAAGAAUUGACUAGCCUUUCGAACUCCUCUUCUUGAGCUUUGUGUGAAAUUUUGAGGCUCUCAAAUUCUACAAGCUGGUCUUUAACGGUUUUCACAAACCAACCUCUUUUACAUGUUUAUAAUCACAUGAAAGAGUAACCAGCCAAAAGUCUUUACUUAUGAUAAUCAGCAUUCACCGUUAAAUCAACAUUUCCUGGCAUCCCUUGAACAAAUUGUUUAAAGCACACUAUAUUAGCAACUAAUCGAAAGUCAAUCUAGACUUACUGAACUACAUCAUUACCGCAAAUAAGAACACGGCAUCACUCUACAUACUUCACUGACUAUCACAUCAACAAAAUGCCAGACUCAUAUCAAACCAAAAUUGCAAAAAUCUAAGACACGGUGUAUACUGAUCUAGAGACUAUCAUAAAUUGCUGAAAUGCGAAAGCAACAUACAGAUUUGAAGCGCUCACCAAUUUGAUUUGAAGCGACGCCGAGAUUUUAGAAACAUUGCAGAACUGAGAAACACUGAGCGACAGACUCGCGGCUCCACACAACCAAGCAGGGAAAUCCAAUUUGGGCAAACCCUAAAUCAGGGAAAUCCAAGCAAAACUCUAUAUCAACCGAGCAAAACCCAACCCAGCGAAACCUGAAAUCCAAAAUUUCGCAUAAAGAAACUUACCAGGAAAUAGCAGAAUACCCUAGAAAGAAGUUUCGCAUCAAUCUAUGGCGGGGGAUGGAGGGUGUUGAGAUCGGUAUUCAUCUGUCAGAGAGAAAGAGUGAGGCUGGGUGUUCGGAUCGAAAGAGUGAGGCUGGGACACAGAGAGAGAUUAAGAGUGAGGCUGCUAGAGAGAAUUGAAUGAGAAAAAGAGUGAGGUAGCUGCUAGAUUGGUUAAAGUGUACUAUCGGGGUAGUUAAUGAGAAUAAGCUAGUGUCAAAAUACUAUCUACUUUUACGACAAAAAAAAAAAAAAGUCUCAAUCGAUAUCAUUAAAUUUCUCUCAAAUACGUCAGUUUUCUGUAGUCUUUAAAAACACGGUAUCAGAAACAAAUUCCCUAAAGACGACAAAUGAUUCUCGUCUCAUUGACACGCUAGUUUUAACUAUCUACGUGUUGCUACAUUCAGACAACAGAAUUUUAAAUGUUUGUCGUAAAAAUUAAUCAGACGACAGUAAAAACGACUUCUGUCGUCUGAUACCUGUCGGAUGAUUGCGAAAUCGGCGUGUAAUGCAUGAAUGUUUUUUCACGUGCUUUUGCUUCCAUGAGUACUUUAGGGCAUGAUUUUGGGCUCAUCUAAAGAUUAUAUAUACUCCAUAUACAUGGGAAUGUUGUUAUAUCUUGGCACACCAUAAUUACAUGUUCAACGAUCGACUCAUUUGCCAAUUAGAAGAAAAAUGAUGAAUAUAUAUGGAUUAGGAGUGACCGGGAUUCCUUGUUCCUAGAGAUUUUGGGUUGUACGUUUUUGGCCAUUCUCUCACCUCCUCUGGUAUUCACCUGUCAAUUCCUUCUACCAAUCUGAGCGAUUAGGAUUCACACAUUCCAUAUAUUGAUUUCAACUCAAGCUUCAGUCACCGAUUCAUAGCCACACGAAAUCCUAGCAUUUUCAAAGUCCAAAUAACCAAGUAAGCUAACUUGCAUCAGUGUAGAAAUUCAAAGCUCGUAGUUAUUAUAUAAACAAGCUUGGGAUUCAUCUUCGUCUACGAAACCAAAAGCAGAGUAGCAUUGAGAAUCUGGAUAAUAAGCUUAGGGUAAAGUGAAACAACCAUGGACCUUUACACGAGGCGUUGAGGAGCGGCGACACGUCGGCCUAGACGGAGUGAACGCCGGAGGGAAUGGAGGAGCGUUCCGGUACGGGAAGGUCCACGGUAGCAUCGUUGGCCAUCGGCCUCUUCUUUCUUCUUCUGGUUUUGGUGAGAGAGAGAGAGAGAGAGAGAGAGAGAGAGAGAGAGUAGUNNNNNNNNNNNNNNNNNNNNGAGAGAGAGAGAGUAAUGGGGUUUUCGUUUGCUUUGGCCACUUGCCAAACAACAAGCGAGUCAAGCAGUACGGAGGACGGUGAAAGGGUUUAGCUCGUGUAGGGCAUCCAGACGGGUAGGAUCUCGUGUUUUUGUGGGCUUUCUGUUCUUACGUAUUGAACCUUUCAUAGACAGUGUCCUAAUUGGAUUAGUAAUCCAAAUCCAUGAUACGUCUGACAUUCCUAGGGUUAGUGAUUUCUAAUCAUAGUAGGAUUAAAUUUGGUUCAAUAUAAAUAAAUCCAAGCCGAUACACAGAAGAGAAUUCCAUGACCAGAAGUAUUUAGCAGAGUAUAUAAUUCCCAUAAAUUGAUAAUCCCAAAACACAGCCAGUACCGCAUUUUGCCCUAACAUGGAUUUGUAGGCAGGCCAUAAAAGAAAGAGGACACACGAAGAGAGGAAAGGAAAAAAGAGACCAAGAACGGCGGCCGACCAAAAAAGAAAGAGGACGGACGAAGGGAAGAAUUCGAAAGAAAAAGAGAGACAAAGAACGGCCGCCAUUGACGAGACGUUUCACUUUCAGUCCAAAGAUGUUGCCUCUAGCGGUCAUCCUCGAAAAGAAAGAAGAAGAAGGCCUGACGUUGGGAACACGGAAAGUUCGAGGAAAAGGAAGGUCGACCUUAUCGAAGAUGAUAAUAUGUUUGAUAGGUCGACUGAAGCUAGCGUCGACGAAGAUCGUAAGACUCACAUCAUGCAGCGCCUCAUGUCCGGUCUAGAUGGCCUCAUGUUCGCCGUAGAUGGUGAAAGUACGCCUGAAGAUGAGAUAAGUUUGACUGAUGAGAUUGAGUACUUUAACAAGAUCCACGACAAGAAUGUUGAUCUGAAACAAAAAAUUGUUGUUGAGCUGAAACAAAAGUCUCAAAAGGAGAAGAAAAGCAAAUUGGUCUGAGCUUCCCAACGAGCUUCUAGAGUCGAUUUUGAAAAAGCUUAUACUUGUGAAUUUGACAUCGAUGGAUUCAGACAUAUCCGAGAGGUUAAAGUCGUUUGUCAAUCCUGGAGAAAGGUUGCAAAAUCAUGUAGCUCAUACGUUCCUUUGCCUCGGACUCCAUGUCUCUUGCUUCAUGGAAAAACACCAAUGUCCUUCCUCAUUGAUCCCAUUGGAAGGAAGGAGCACACAAUCAGGAACGUCCAUGACUACUGUCCUGAUGCCAUAUGUGUUGGUUCAUCAUAUGGGUGGAUUGUCAUGUUUUACCGAGAAGAUAAUUCGGAAGACUGGAAAGCACAUCUCUUCAACCCGAUUACAAGAGCUAGCAUUCCAAUCCCAAGCACUCAUACCCUUCCUGAACAUUGUCAUCCUCGCACACCUUCUAGAGCUAUUAUUUCAUUCAAUCCCUCUUUCAACAAGAACUUUGUUGUGGUAGUGAAAUUCGGAGUUGGACUAGCAUGCUAUAAACAUGGAGAUGAAGAAAAGUCCUGGAAGAUACUAAUUGUUAAAGGUGCGGAUUAUUAUGAUGAUAAGGGAUUCGUGUUUCAUGAUGAUCUUUUGGUGGCAUCGUUCGAGACGCUUACCAAUGUUUGGGACUUCAAGGAAUACCCUUCUUUACUUUGUAACCCUGUACAGUCUUUAUCUGAUGCAAAGCCUUUUACCUAUUUGAUGGAGUCGUCAAUUCGUCAUUGACGGGUGACAUUUUACGUCUGACUAAAGAGUGGGAAAACAAGACUUUAAAAUUUAGUGUGGUAAAGCUAAAUUUAUGAGAAGGCGGAAAAUGAGAGAAUCUUCAAAGUUUAGGCGACCAAAGUUUAUAUUUUUUUGACCAAAGUUUAUUCCAUUUUAAACAAUUGAGUGGAUGUCAACUAAUGUCAUUAAUGAACUCGAGUUUUUUAGGAUGUGAAAAAAACUCUAUUUACUUUGCAGCGAGAGAAUUAGAUAAAUACGCAACAUUAGAUAAAUAUGCAAGAUACGACCUUGAAAAAAGAAAAGUAAAAAACAUGGGUGAAGAAGGUACGAUAAUGUCAUUUAGUGAAUAUAUGCACAUUAAUUUAGAACCUCUGUGGAUUAUUCCUAAUCCAUGGUGAAGUACAUCGUUUUAAUUAUUCACUAUGUCAAUUGAAAUUAUUCCCAGUUCAAGUUUUGCAUUGCUGAACAUCAAUUGGAUCUGAAUUAUUGCAAUUUUGCUGCUGUAAAUUUACGCUCUUUAUAUACAUGUUUGGCAUCGGAUAGUGAGAAAUUGAGUUGUGGAUUUGUUGGUUAUUGUAUUUUUUUUUUUUCGAUUGAAGCUUAUUGUCUUGUUGUUGUUGUUGUUGUUGGUACAUGAUGUUUCUUCAAGAAGGAAUUCAUCAGCAAACUUAAUUGCAUGUGUGCUGAUCAUAUGUUGCAAGUUGCAACGUUUUCAAUAACACACCUCUUAGUAAACCAACAAUAGAUUCAGGAUUACUUGAAUGUAUGUUAGGGUAUUAGCCCUAACUAGAGAGAAAAGCAAAGAAAUGCAGAAAUGAAAGAAAUUAAAAUGUUAAUAUUUUCAUUGAUACUGAGCAAAAGCUCUCAAAGGAGUACAUAUAGACCUAUUUGGCUGGUCACGUGCGCGGCACAUGACUAAGUGAGUAAAAUAUCAUAACAAUCCAUCCCCCUUUAGCAAACUUGACCUCAAGUUUCAAUUACCAAAGAGACAUUGCAAUUUAACCAACUAUAGUCUAGACUAAACAGCACCCAAAAACAUAGAUCUUCAAAUACUGCACCACAAGUUAUCAGGAAAAAACUGAAGAAUGUUGCAGCAACGUUUCCAUGAUGUGUACUGAUUUGGAAAGAAUCAUAUGAGCAUAAGAGAAGUACCCUGCUGGAUAAUUGGAGCUCAAAUAACCAUCUGCAAGAGAGUAUGGCAUCCCAUGAAGUCUUGUUGCAGCAAUAGAUCAUCUGCUUGUCACCAAGAAUGAAAGUGAACAGAGUGUACUCGCAGGCUAGCCCAUCCUUGGAGAUAUCAGCUUCCGAACCCCCAGUGGUGGAGUCAAUGAUGAGGAUAGCAUUAUCAGCCUUGGAAGUACUAGUAAUCAUGUCCUUGAUGAAAUCAGGAUGUCUGGGAGCAACAAUGUCAGUGUAGUACUUGGUGGUCUCAAACUUCCACAGCGUGAUAUCAAUGGUGUUAUCACAUUUACGCUCAGCCAUGAGCUUGUCAAGCAACCUGAAUGAACACUUGUUCACCUCAUCCACAUAUCCAAGAAAACAAUAGUGUUUUCCUGACAAAAACCAUUCAUCACCCCAUAUCACGAUUAGAUCAUAAGGUAAACUCUCUGUCACCAGUAGACCAAUAAGAAUAAAGAGCUUUUGCUGGAACCCAAGAGCCUUUAUGAUAAAUUGGUUAGUCCACAGUAGCUCGAAACUGGUAAAUACAUUUUCCUUGUGCUCACACUUGAAAAGUUUUUCUAACAUCAACCAAACCAGUUGCAAUAGCACAAGCAUAGAACCAUUUCUAAUUGAUACACUCUGCAUGGAUGUUGCAAUAUGGCUAAAUCCAAUUCCUCUGUUGUAAAGCUCAUCCAAUAAACUAGAGGAUAAAGUCAUCACCAAUUUAGUUUGAUAAGUAGAUUCCACCAAAGAGAUUUGAAUCACACGAGGAGAAAGUAAGAGCUCACUUGAUGAUUUCAGAUGCUCUCUGAGAUACUUCAUUAUCUUUGACUUGUAUCGUGGGGACAUUUGAUCAUGAAACUCAACUAAGGCAUCAUUCACAUAUCCAAAUUUUGUUAAACUUAACCGGGCAUGAACAUGUUUCCCUGGAGAUGAAUAAGCAAGCUUUGCACAGCAACUCAGUAUAGUAGCAUAGGAAAUUUGCAUGGUAAUCACCUCAUGUUGAGAAUUGAGUGAAUGCCCUGCUAUCAUAUAGUUCCAGCAAACAACAACUUCUUGUAUGCUAUUAAUUAUAUGUUUUACCUCCAUGUUGAUCUCAUUCUGAAAAUAGAAACAGAAUAUGUGAUUCCAUGAAGUCACAUUUGAGAAUGAGAUGACAUAUGUGUUAUCACCCCACAAUUGAUGGCCACUAUAUAUAUCUCCAGACUUGACAUAUGCUGCCAGCAAAUUAACAUUCCAAGAGACAGCAAUAACUUCAUGUGGAGUAGCAAAAUUCUUCAUUGACCCCAACCCAUAUAACAUGAAUCCAGACUUAUGCAUUUCAUCACUUGAAAACCCUUGGCCAAAAUCAAUUCCACCAAACUGGGGCACUUCUGUUGCACUAAACCCAUUCUCAUAGUCCAAAACACAAAUAGUUGACAUCUCAGCCUUGACCCUUUUGAUGUGUGAAGACCCUGGAUCACCAUCCCAAGCAAAAAACCCAACAACCUCAACAGAAAAUGAGUUCUUAUUUGAGGAGUCAGCCAUUGAACUAAUAAUCUGACCCAUAUUCCCUAAACCCCUGGAUAUCAUCAAGUAAAAAACAGUCUCUUCUAUAUCUACUCCACAGUGGGCAUACAUAUCAACAAGAGAGCUAGCAGUAGAUCCAUUUAUCUCGAAUAUAUCAGCAUGAAGCAAACUUCCAGCAUUAUCAAUAAAAGCACUAAAGAUCACGACAUAGAGCUUAAUCAUGUCACACAAGAAACUCACAAAAUCUCUUCUAUCAUCUUGAAAAUUUAUAGUGGUGGUUUGAGUCAUUUCACCAAUUAUGUUGAACGCUUCCCUGCAAAAGAGUAGAAUCUCCUCUACCUCACAAUAGCAACACUGCAAGCCAAUAAUUGUUUCGGCAGUACCUCUUGAUUUCCACUUCUCCAAUAUUAACUCCAGUACCCUUUUAGAAUUCGCUAUGCUCUCAUAACUAUUACCCACAAUAUCAGGUGGUUUAUCCAUCACAAAAACAACUGCAGUCCUCAACCCAUAUUGGAUUAGCUUUAGCGCAUCAGAACUCACCCACAGAACAUUACAUAUAUCCUUGGUGAGCAAUGUAACAGAUGAACCACCAGCAAGUAAGUCAUCCCAUUCACCCUUCACACUUCCACAACGCCUGUUUAAUAACUCUUUCAAGGGCAUAAGACCUAAAAAGGACUUGCUGUUGUAGGCAUCCAGUUGAAAAUAAUUUUCCAGCUCAUGAAUAUCCGAAAAAACUACAGUGCCUCCACUAAAAUAACUUGACUGGAAAAUCUUCAAAUCCUGUUUAACAUCAUUUUCAUUUUGAUCUCUCCCUUUUGACACUCGAGACUGACUUAAUCCCACAUUUUCAUCAAUUUCUUUAUCAACCUCAGAAAGACGGAUUGCCUUAACCUGUAAGCAUCCAUCACUCAUGGUGCCACCAAUUAUCCUGCAACCAAAUCUUUCACAAAUGGCCCUUGCCUCGUGUGGUCAACCUCUCAUUCACAUGGGUUUGACCAGUAAUUACAAUCCCAUCAAUUGGAACCUCUGCCCUGGAAACAAUCUUAAGUAAAUCAUUGCUUUGAAUAAGUUGAGAGCUAAAACCUAUCUCCGAUAUAGCAUUGUCAUCCUCAAGUUGAUUAGCCUUCAUGUCAACACCUUCAUUAUCUUUGGCACAAUUCACCCCAAGUGCAUAUUCUAAAGGUUGGUGAGCAAGUCCCCCACCUUUAUCUCGAAUACUCGUAAGAGCUGGAACAGUCCUUCCUACAUUACCCAACUCAUUUGAAUGCAGCAUUUCAUCAAACAGGUGGAGUGCAUGACAUUCUCUCACCUUCUCACCCGAAUUUGGUCCCUGAUUAUCAUGCCUAACAUUAACACCAACAUGAAUUGACCCAACAAACACAGAAUCAACAGCACCACAACCAUUAUUCACGAAACUGAGAGUUCCAGUAUUGCUUACUGAACAAAAGGAUGCAUUAGUGUUGUUCACUUGAGUCGACACAGUGCUGCCUAGCAGAGAAGGCACAACUGAGCUCUGGGACCUCCAAUCAACCUUGACAUCUUGAGCUAUUUCAGCCACAAGGCGUUGAAAAGAGACCUUGCGCUUCGGGUGUGUGUCAGUCGCAAGGAACCCGUAGGUUCCCAGCCUAGAUCGGUGUCUCUUCUUCACUCCUCCGAUGACCGCAGUCGACUUGAGAGCGACUUGCUUGCUUCGAGCCUUCCAGAGAUGAGAGUGGACAAUCUCAAUUUGAGUUUUAGGAUCAGAAAUUGGAGUUGAUGACUGCUCCAAUGGUCGCUGCUGGUAACGGCCUGGUGGUGGUGUUGUCAAUCGAAAUUGCUCGAACACAUUAUGAAUCACACUUUGCAUCUUGGAUUGAAGCAACGGUAAAGUGUUUUCCAGUGCACGGCUCAUUGCAAGGAGAAACAAAUCCUCGUCGAGCACAAGAGGUUCGACGCCGAGCGGCGGAAUUGCCAGUUGCUCAGCUCCCAGAAACAUGGCUCUGAUACCUUGUUAGGGUAUUAACCCUAACUAGAGAGAAAAGCAGAGAAAUAUACGAAAGAAAUUAAAAUGUUGAUAUUUUCAUUGAUGCUGAGCAAAAGCUUUUAAAUGAGUACGUAUAGACCUAUUUGGCUGGUCACGUGCGCGGUACAUGAGUAAGUGAGUAAAAUAUCUUAACAAUGUAACGUAAAGGUUAGGGAUUUCAGAUCGAUGCUCUUCUUUUUAAUUUAUUCAGACUCCUUUUCUACAAGAAUGCAAACUAUAUAUAUGAACCCUUUUGGUAAAAAAAGAAAAUUAGAAAGACAGGAUCAUUUAUUGUGGAAUGUGGACUGUCCAAUUUUCCUCUAUAUAUGUUCUUGGCCCUUUAUCACUGCUGUGCCUCUACUUUGUUCAUAGUGCAACUACAGUGAGAAGAUAGAGAAUUGAGAGGCAGAAGAGUUCCGAGGAUGGCAAAAUCACCAGAAGAAGAACACCCCAGAAGGUUUUUGGUUGGGCUGCCAGGGACUCUUCUGGGUCACUCUCCCCCUUUCAUUUCUCUAGAAGGUAAAAUUUGGACUGUAAACUGUUUGACCCUUUUGUGUUUUCUUCAUUAUUAUAUUGCUUUGAGGUUUAGGAUGAUCCGAAACCAAUCUCUUUUUCUGUUCAUCUGGGAAUAUUUAAGCAAAUAUUAUAAGUUGAACUAUGCUUUGGCUUUAUAUGGUAGAGUAUUCUUUCUUCUUGUAGCUUUUAUAGUUUUCUAUGUGCUUUCACUCCAAAAGGGUUUAGCUCUUUAUAGUUUUCUGUAAAACCCCGUCUUAACGAUCAAUGGCUUGUUCUAUUAAGCUUCAUACUGUUAAUUCAAGAAAUUUAUAAAGGGUUUUGCUUAGUGUAGCAACUAGACAGAACCCAAGUAGAGAUUUUCGUUUAUCAAAAGUAAAAGUGUAAUUCUUGUUUAUCAUAGUUAAUUUACAUCAUGUUAUGCUAGUGGGUCUUAUUUGUUCUUCAUUAUGGUCAAAGCUUUCGAAAUUUUGGGGUACUGGCUUAAUGUAGGGGAUGACUCCCCUUGUGGCUGUGUGAUUUGAUUUUUGUCUACUUUAAUUUGUGCUGAAAAUUGAUGAAAUGGAUCAAAUAUAAGGAUCACUUAUUGGUACUACUGGAGCAGAUUGCAGCCAUGUACUUGAGCUUUUUUGUGUAUUAUUUGCAGGGAAAAUGCUGAUGGUGAUGUAACAAUAAAGUCCUGUAUUGUGGGGUUUGCGAUUCAGACUUGCAUUCUGUCAAAAAUGAAUGGGGGAUCACAAACUUUCCUAUCGUACCUGGGUAAUCAUAUUAAUCUCAUAUGAGUUUCUAAAUUUCUCUACUUUUAUAUCUAUCUUAUGGCUUUAAUUGUACAAUGUGACGAUUAUUUGGUCUGCUAACUUAUAAAUAGCGGUGCAAGUUUACCAUAUAAAACCUUACGCAAGCCUACUUCACAAUUUUCUGGUUGCAUCAUGAACCAUGUACUGGUGAUUGGAUGUUUGGUUAAUACACUGAGUUUCAAGAUUUAUCUUCCAUCUUUCUAUCUCGAGUUUAAAUCAGCUCUGUGAUUUUCAGAAUUCACUUGUAUAGAUAAAUGACUUCCAAUAUAGAAUUAUGAGGGUCCUAUUACAUACAACAUGCAAUGCUAGUAUAUACAAUAUUUAUGCGGCAAUUCAGCUUAUUUAUUGCAUUGUUCUUGUAAAAGUUUGUCCAACGUAUGCUAAGCAUUUUAAUGGAUGUUAUAGGCAUGAAAUUGUUGGUGUUGUGACCAAAACUGGGAAAAGCGUGACGAAAUUCAAAGAAGGUGGUCGUGUAGGAGUUGGGGUUAUAGUCGGAUCCUGCAAUACAUGUGAGCCCUGCCAGCAGGACCUAUUGCCCCAAAGUGAUAUUCACUUAUAACUCCACUUCUAUGUGCUGGGAUCACUGUGUAUAGUCCAAUGAAGUAUUAUGGCAUGACAGAGCCUGGAAAGCAAUUGGGCGUGGCAGGACUUGAUGGACUUGGUCAUAUUGCUGUCAAAAUUGGUAAGGCAUUUGGUUUGAAGGUAACCGUCAUCAGAACUUCCCCGGCUAAGGAGGAAGAAGCUAUUAACAUACUUGGGGCUGAUUCUUUUGUUGUUUCAACUGACCCUGCACAACUGAAGGUAAUGAACUAAUGAUAAAUCAAAGAAAAAUUCAAAAUGGUCAGGUUAUGAUUGCUUCUUGGCAAAUGUUUAAUGUAAGUGUUAUUUUCUAUUUCUACUGUUCAGGCAGCGAUGGGAACCAUGGAUUACAUAAUUGACACAGUACCUGCAGUACAUGCCCUUGCUCCAUUAAUUGGUCUACUUAACUUGAAUGGCAAGCUGAUCACUGUGGGUUUGCCUGAUAAGCCAGUGGAGUUGCCUAUUUUUCCAUUGGUUCUAGGUACGUGUAUAUACCAACUAACAAUUCCAUAUGUUCCGGGUUUUUUUUCCCUGUUCUUUUAAAAUCAGUCACUAUAAGUGAUAUGUAAAUGUGCGAGUACCAUGUUCUUUCUACUGAGAUUCUUAAUGCUCAAAAGGAUUAAAUUGUCAUGUUUUUAGGAUAAAAGAGACGCAGGAGAUGCUUGACUUUUGUGCCAAACACAACAUUACCUCCGAAAUAGAGCUAAUUAAAAUGGACUACAUUAACACAGCUAUGGAGCGGCUUGCCAAAGCAGAUGUCAGGUUUCGGUUUUUGAUAGAUGUUGGGAACUCCUUGUGUCAGUAGAGACUUGGAUUCAUGCCUCAACUGCUACCUUGUUUGGUUUGAGACUCAAUAGUGCAUUGAAUAAGUAGCAAGUUUUAAUUAUGGUAUGUGAUAUAGAAGUUUCUGGGGGAUGUGGACUGGUAGCAUAAGAUAUAUUGUUGUCCUGGAAACUUAUGGUUUGUACCUAUCUAGUUGUAUCCAUCCCCCACUUUUCCGGUUGACUUUAUGAUGAAUAAUAAUAUCUGAUUAAGUUUCAU